rnacentral:lncRNA from 1 species
AGUAAGGUGUGAGCUUCUUUUAUUUUCUCUUGUAACGCUCUUGUGUGGAUCGCUGUACAAUGACCGCUGUAUCAUACUGGCGAUGGCGAUCUUCGCGAUCUUCAUCAGGCCAAGAGCGUCUUUGAUCGAAUGCCCGAGUGGAACACUAUCUCCUCUGGGAUCCAGCGGAGAAGUCGAGGCCUGCAGAGGAGAUGUUUGAGCUGCGAGCCAGAGGAGAGCUCCGGGACGUCGUGACUUGGAACUCGAUGAUCGCGUCCAAGCGGAAGUCUUCUUCACGACGAACUGGAGCGCUUGCUUGAUCUUCGCUCGGAUGCGGACUUGAGUUGCUGCUCAUCUGACAUGCCGCAGCUUGGAAGAUGCUCGCAAGUCCUUCGAGAAGAGCUCUGCCACCACUAGUGUCAGAUCCUGGACUGCCUUGAUUGGAGCGUUCGUGGCAAACGACUCAAGCCGGUUGAGAGCUUCCACAAGAUGGUGCCAGAAGGCGUCCACUUCGACAAGGUGGCGGUGCUGAGCGGCCUGGAAGCCUGCUCUGGAGCCAGCAGAGGAGAGCUGCUCCAUUGCUAUGCGGUUGAGAGAGGCUGGCAAACGGACGUCUUGGUCGGGACCGCGGCGCUCAACAUGCAUGUCAAGUGUGGGAGAUUCGAGCAGUCGAAGCUCGUCUUCGAUGCCUUGCCGGAGAAGAGCCUCGUGUCCUGGUGUCGAGCUAUGACGGGAGCGGACGGCGCUGAGCAUGGACUUGGCCGGCCUGGGAAUGGACGGUGUCGCUCUGCCUUGCAUCUUCGACGUGCGCGCGGCCUGCACAGCUCUCUCGGACGGCAGCGCUGUCUACUCGAGCGUCGAGGCGAGCGGCGAGAAGCUCGAUGUCACUGCUGGAGCAGCCGCCAUCAACAUGUAUGGAAAAUGCGGAGAUGUGUCGAGCGCGGCGGAGAUCUUCUCCCAGUACCGGGCCUGGGAGUGGAGUUUGGUGCUCUCCACGACCAUGGUGGCGGCCUUUGCUCGAAACGGACAUGGCCGACGAGCUCACGAGCUGUUGGAGUUGAUUGAGAGUAGAACUGGACGUUGUCAGCUUCACCACCAUUCUUGCUGCGUGUAGCGCUGCCGGGCUGCUCCACGAUGGCCACGGGUACUUUGUUUCCCAACUUUGUUACGGCAAGGAGUGCUGAUGCAUGUGAAUUUUGCGUGAUGACUUCCGUGGGCGAAUCUGGCAAGGGGUUCUCGGCAACAUCCGCUGGGAAGUUCCGUCGAUGAACUUCUCGCAGAGCGUGGGCCGAGAGCCGCCAUAAUAGCUCCACAAAUCUAGAGAAGGAAAAACCAAAAAAAUUCAAUCAUAGGAAGCACGGAGGCAAAACAAGACCCACCUCUGACCACAGCAUGUAGCUAGCGAGGAAACCCGAGAGCUACUCCGAGGUAAAGCCCCUUGAGCCUCUAGCUCGUUGAUAAGACGCUGGACAAUCUGCAAAGAAAGAAAUUUCCAUCCCUUUGAGGACUCUCACACGAAACGGAAACACAGCGAAAGCAUGCGUAUCACUGUACUUUCCGGAAGUCGCAAGAGUGUGCCGCGUCGAAAAUUGGCCAGACACCGGCGAAAUCCUGCGAGAUCGAGAGCGCCUCAACUCAACCUACAUUCUCGCCUUCUUCCUCACCUUGGCGGCGAGGAGAAAAUGUAGCAGGGCUUGGAAUGCGCGCCUUGCCCUAGAAUGCUGGCAUCCCGUAGCUUCCAUCUCCGUCUCCUUGUCGCGGAUCACAUCCUUCUUGCAGAGAAGACCGCCAACAUCCAUCACCGCUCAAAGCAAAACAUCAAGCAGCGUGUCCCUAGCAAAGACUCAGUGCAAAGCCAAAGAGUCCCUGGAUGAUGUGGCGAUUAAAAAAUGGUUGAAGGGAGGAAUGGUUGUUUAAUUCGGACCGUUUGAUCUAUGCGGUCCGACGGCUGUGAGGCCGUUCUCUCUCCAGAACUGGAUCAGAUCUCUGGAGCUCCUAGGGUUCGUGGCUUUGUGUCGCAUGGCGGCUGCCUGUGCGAUCGAGGUGAAAAUUCUCUGGGGCGUGGAGAAUCCAGGCGCUCGUCAUUGCAUGGGAGAAUGUUUUCCGCCGAUUUCUCUACAGGAGGCCCCCCGUGGAGAUAUCCGAGAGCUUUCCCUCAUACAUUCCAAUCUCCAUUCCCAGCGCAUUCACCCAUUCUUUUGUGAAUCCAGUCUUUGACUCGUGUUUCUCCGCGGACGUCUUCGAGGAGGAGACUUACAAGCUCUACUUGCGCCAGAUCGCGAUGCAAAUCCACGAGCAGUUCCCCGAUUCGUCCUUCCUCGUCUUUAACUCCCCGGAGGGCGAGAGGAAGAGCCAGCUGACAGAGAUGUUAUCGCACUACGAUAUGACGGUGAUGGAUUAUCCACGCCGCUACGAGGGCUGCCCGAUUCUUCCCAUGGAGAUGAUCCAUCACUUCCUGCGAUCCAGCGAUAGUUGGCUCUCGCUCGAGGGGCAGCAAAACAUCGUCUGAUGCACUGCGAGAGGGGGGGAUGGCCGCUGCUGGCGUUCAUUCUCGCCAGCUUUCUCAUCUACAGGAAGAUGUACACGGGCGAAUUCAAGACGCUCGAUAUGCUCCACCGGGAGGCUCCAAAGGGAUUGAUGCAGCUGCUCACUCCUCUCAAUCCGAUGCCAUCGCAGCUGAGAUAUCUCUAGUACGUUGCUAGAAGGAACAACACUCCAGAGUGGCCACUCCCGGAUCGCUCGCUCAGCCUCGACUGCCUCAUUCUCAAAGUGGUGCCAGCUUUCGAUCCGGACGAGGGGCCGGAGUUAUGGAAGAGAUCCCCGAUUGAAAGCAGGGAACAGGACGACGAGGAUGCUUUUUGCCUUGGGAAAGAUGUCCGGCAUUAUUGACCGGUAAGGUGGUGAGCUUGUUUUCUUUCUCUUGCUUUGGUCAGUAACGCUCUUGUGUGUUCCAGACAGAUUGUGAUGUGAUGAAGAUCGAUGUACAGUGUGCUGUGCAAGAGCAAAUCCAACUCAAUGAAAUCUACCAAGAAAAACUAGUGAAUUCAACUCAAUGAAAUCUAGCAAGAACUACCUAUAGGGGCUUUCCACGCUAGAAUAGUAAUCUUCACUCUGGCCUUCCUCCACAUCCUCAGCGCCAUCUUCUUCCGAUGAUGAAUCCUCUGUGAUCCCGAUAGUUGACAUGACACAACUCAACUCAUCCUUCCAAGGAUUAUGCUCAAUUGAGACAAUGCCGCCCAAGGAGAAGCCCACGAUGCUAACUUUGGGUGGCAGAUCACCGUCCACAGAGAUCACAACAUCUGAUGCCUCAAAAGUUCCAUGAUAAGCACCGCACUGGUAGAUCUCUCGCAACACCCUUGUGGCAGGCUCUUUGAGAUGGGGAUAUGUUUGGGAAGGAAGAGUGUUAUCACCUUCGUCAGACAUGACAAUCACUGAGAACAUAUCCCUAUUGAGGACGCCAUACUCUAAGAGCUUGGGAACUCCACGACCCUGCAUGGAUUUGAGCCUGGAAUACAUGAGGAUCUCCCGAACAAACAACAUAGCAGCACCUAGUUUUGAACCUGGUUGAGAGAUGUCCACUAUUUUCACCACCACCUUCUCAGAUCCUCUGUACACAGCCCUUGCCACAUUUGGUGACAGCACCAUUCCCUGCCGAAAGUCCCUAUAAAACUCCCCAAACCUCCAACACUUCAACUUCUUGUGCACUUUGGCCAUGGAGAUGUAUGCCAACUCGCUUGCCAAGUGCUUCAUGUUGCGCUUGACAAACUUGUUGAAAUCCUUUGGCAGCAUCACAUGAUGAGGGGGAGGCACCAUUGUGAGCUCCUCGCAAUUGUCCUGAUCGUCUUGCCGAGGCAACUCAGUGGCAUUGACCACACUAGAGAAGAUAAUGUACCAGAAGUGCUUCAUUGGCACCUCAGAGAUCUUCAUCGGUUCAGCUAUAGCAAAGCCAUUGUAGCCACGCCUGACACAAAACCACAGAUGGCGUGCACCAAUAAUCACUGCAUAAUCUGUCUUCCACUGCUCACAGUAACAAUAAACCUCUCCACAGCUUCUCUAAAAGAAGAGCCAUGUUCCAGAUUUGUAGCAAUGUCUCGCACGCACAGCCCCUCAAGCUCCAAAUGAAUUACUCGCACGAGACAACCUCAAGGUUUCACGCUGCGAUCACUUCCUGUCAACAGUACAUUAACCUCGGGAACCAAGCCUACUCGACGGAUUGCCCCCGGCAGCCGCUGGAAGAGUUGGGAGCUGAGGAUUCUUGCCAUCGCACCUGGAGAAUCCACAGGAUGAACUUGUCGAUCCCGAUUGGGCACAAAAAAGACCUCUUCCGUAUCAUUGAUCUCUCUUGCAACAAAACGAUCGACUAGCUCGUGGAUGUUGUGCCAUACAUAAAGCUUGGAUGGGAAUAACUCCCGUCUGACUCCCCAAUCAGUGAAGGUGUCCACCUUCAUGUUGCUGCUGAUGAGCGGCCGCAUAAAUAGUCUACCAAGGAAAUUCUUGGCAUUCAACAAAGGCCCAUCUCCAUCAUUCCAUAGCAUAUUGCCUCUUUGAGGCUCUCAGAGCACUUGUAAAACUGCACGCGCAGCAAAGGAGCUUACCCUGUAUCGUGCUUCUUCUUCUGCCAUGCUCUAAACCCUUCUGCGUGAAAACCCUAACGUUCUGGGCAUGCUAGUAAAACAGCCUUGGAAACGUAUCAUUGAAUUUCUUUUCUUCAAAAAUCUUCUUCAUGUCAAUAAUCUAUCCGGAAGAAUGUACAAACAAAGACCCCCUUUCAAAAUCUCCGACUUAAAUGGUCACGCUAUCCUGCUUCGCCGGGGCGACAGUAGCCCAUCCAGCUCUCUUCUCAGCGGGAGAACCUUGUCUUUGUCGGCCUCCUUCUCAGCCUUCUUCCUUUCCAUCUCUGCUAGCUUGCUGUUCUCUUCCAAUGCACGCUUGAACAUCACGAUGAAAUUAAAAAUGAUCGACACCGCUGCGAACCAAAUCCAAGAGACGUUUGUAAAAUCCAGUGCAUAUAGACCAAAUGGUUAAGUACCUUGCUCAAAUGGACAGCGAGCGGGAUCUUCAUUGAAGUAGCGCGCCAAGGAAUCGGCAUUGUGGCCCUGCAAAGUGACAAUGCUUUCAACGAGCCAUACAUACAAACUUAACAUCUCUUACCACUUCAGAGUACAAAGACGCCAGUGUUCUCACCUCCGCCUCCGCUGUAUCAAGGAAACUCUUCAAGCUCUGUGCGUCCAUGGAAAACAUUAGGACAAUGCGCGCAAAGCAGGCAGACAUCACCUUCCGAAACCCAUCAGAGACGGCUCCAUCGUUUUCAGACGCUGUCAAUUCCUGCUCAACCUUUUCCAGGCCUUUGCUUACGGCUUGCAUUUCUUCUGCAAGAGCUUUCAAUUGAAUCUGUAACACAGGUCAGAAAACCAAGACACAAAUACUGGAGUAUGAAAUAUAAGAACCUUGGUGGCUGCCUCAAGGUGAGGCAAUUCCUUGUCGAAAUCAAGUAUUUCGGGCAUUUUCUCGGAUACAAUCUGCCACCAGUGUCACGUGUCAGCCAAGCCAAAACAGUUGCACCUAACUUACUUUACACAGAUAAUGUAAUAACGUAGUUCUAGAAUUACGAGCUCGAGUUUCUGUCAGCUUAAGUAGACUAUCGAGUCUGAAUCCAAUCGCCGCCCCUGGAACAACAGCCACACUUGUUACUUAGCUCAAGCUCCCGGGCACUCUUCUUACCUCUAGCAGUUCCUUGGUUUAACGCAUUUCCCAGGGACAGAACCGUUUGCAUCACUCUUUUAAGCUUAGGAGACUCUUUCACCUGCAAGAAUCCGGCUUCAGGCAACAUACAAGAAGAGUGCGAAAUUACCUCUGCUGAAGCUUCAUUGACUACUACCAGAUUUUCUCGUAAAUCUGACACCUGAUACCAUCGUUUGAAAGGGUAGACAAAAUAAUUUUGACCAAACCUGCGACGUGAACUGAAGUUUAAAAGAAAAAACCCUCAAUUUGGACUCUACCCGAGGAACUUUCAUCAUCUCCAGAAAAUACUGCAAAAGCAAACAUAUUGUCUAGUAAACGAUACUGUUUCGGACAAAGCGGGACAAACCUGCUCACAUUUGCCCAGGCAUUCUUUAUCGCCCGUGUAGUUCUGCAAAACCACCAGCGUGUAAGUUAGAUGGCAAGAUCAUAUCUGGAAAUAAAACCUUGAGCGUUUCCAUCUCCUCCUUUGUUGGACAAAACUUGAUCAGAUUAUCAACCUGAUCUACAUCCAGUACUGUCCCAUCCAACGCUAGUAUUGCUUUCUGAGUGCUCAAGUAAAAACCACAUAGCAUAAUGUAGAGAGCAACUUACAACAACUUCUGGCAGUGGCAUCUUCACUUUUGUCAGCAUUAUCUCGCAAUUGUACGCUCGUCUAUGUUCAAUCUGAAUAAAACAAAAGUGAGGCCUCCGCUUCUACUACAAAAGGCAGCUUACCAGGAGCACUUUUUCUUGCUUGGGAACUAGAGAUGCACGACGACCACCCGCUCUGUCACCACCCGCAGCAGCAUUCGGAACAGCGGCCGAGAAGAGGCUCUCUAGCUCGUUCAUGUCAAAUUCAGGUUGCCUAUCACGCAACAAAAAGAAAUUGUGAGCACACGUAACAAAAGAAAAAGACCACAAGACACACCUUGACUGCUCUUCCUGCUUCUGACUCUCCGCCCAUAGACUGCCCUGCAUAGCCCGUGUAACCUUUACCCAGUGGUAUGGCUUCAGAGAGGUCUUCUUCGGCGUAGCAGAUGCCAGACCCGAAGCACCAGCAACCUGUCCUCGGCCUCGACCACCAGGAGGCGAAGGUGUCAAAGGACUACUACCUCGUCCUCUCCCCAAUGCAGGUGGCGGAGGAGGUGGCAAUGGUGACUUCACACCGAGAGGAGGUGGCGGUGGCGGCGGAGCUGCUGAUCCGGGAGGAGGCGGCGGAGGUGGAGGCGGUCCUUUCAAAGGCGGAGGUGGAGGCGGAGGAGUGCCUCGCAUUCCCGGUGGAGGCAGCGGCGGCGGUGGCGGCGGCAGUGGUGAGCUUGAUGAAGCUAGAGGCCGCGCAGCUUGUGGAAGAGGAGGUGGUGGCGGUGGAGGUGGCGCAGCGGUAUUGCCACGUGGCGGUGGAGGAGGUGGUGGUGGUGGUGGUGGUGGUGGUGGUGGUGCAGCUGAAGUUCCUCGAGGCAACGGAGGAGGCGGAGGCGGAGGAGGUGGUGCAGCUGAAUUCCCUCGAGGCAACGGUGGCGGAGGCGGCGGCGGCGGGGCAGUUGAAUUCCCUCGAGGCAGCGGCGGAGGAGGCGGAGGUGGCGGUGGCGGCUUUGCAGUAGAACUUGGGAGCUUGAACGGAGGUGGUGGAGGAGGCGGAGGAGGGGGACGACCGGCAACAGAAACUACUGGUGGUGGUGGUGGUGGUGGUGGAGCAGGAGGUGGAGACCGCGAAAUAGCCAACCUCGGAGGUGGUGGAGGAGGCGGAGGCGGAGGUGGCGAAGGAGUACCUGGUGCGAAGCUAGGGUUAGACGAUGACGUUGGACUUGUCCCGUUUUGAUCGUCGGUUAGGGGUGUGGUGGAGGAGGUGGUGCUGCUGGAAAUAAGUGUCCACUCGUCGUCCGCUGCCGCUAGUGCUGCUCGAUCCAUUGGAAGUCUCCUGUCCUCAAACCCAUUGCCAACCGUGGUCAGCUGCUGGAGGAACUUCAAUGCCGCGUCUCCGCCACCGUCUAACCAGUCCCCGCUACUGAAGAGCUCCUGGACCUUGGCAAAAGCUUCCAUCGGCAAGCCACCUUUGUCUUCCAUCAGCGACGGCACAGGCGCCACAGGGGACGAAAAUCCAUCCGUCUCGCCAAAAAGCACCUAAAAGGAAAAGAUUGAUUUUGCCAAAAUUGGUCCAGCUUUGCUUGCUUACCUCUGCUCGGAAGUCCUUGGAGAAGCGCUCCUUCCCGUUCCAGAGUAUGUCAAUGUCGUCCCGGUUGAGCAUCAGGAUGUUGGAGCGGAUGAACGCGGUGUUAAACAUGACCCGGAACAUCAUCUCCUCCCGGUCCGACUCCAAGUCCAAGUGGAUGCACUCGAGAACCACGUCGCCUUGCACGGCACACUGUACAUCGAUCUUCAUCACAUCACAAUCUGUCUGGAACACACAAGAGCGUUACUGACCAAAGCAAGAGAAAGAAAACAAGCUCACCACCUUACCGGUCGAUAAUGCCGGACAGACUUGCUCUUCUUUCCCAAGGCAAAGAGCAUCCUCGUCGUCCUGUUCCCUGCUUUCGAUCGGGGAUCUCUUCCAUAAAUCCGGACGAGGGGCCGGCAUCCAUCCUCGGCAUCGAAAGCUGGCACCACUCUGAGAAUGAGGCAGUCGAGGCUGAGCGAGCGAUCCGGGGGUGGCCACUCCGGAGAGUUGUUCCUUCUCGCAACGUACUGGAGAUAUCUCAGCUGCGAUGGCAUAGGAUUAAGCGGAGUGAGCAGCUGCAUCAAUCCCUUGGGAGCCUCCCGGUGGAGCAUAUCAAGCGUCUUGAAUUCGCCCGUGUACAUCUUCCUGUAGAUGAGAAAGCUGGCGAGAAUGAACGCUAGCAGCGGCCAUCCCCCCCUCUCGCAGUGCAUCAGGACGAUGUUUUGCUGCCCCUCGAGCGAAAGCCAACUAUCGCUGGAUCGCAGGAAGUGAUGGAUCAUCUCCAUGGGAAGAAUCGGGCAGCCCUCAUACUGGCGUGGAUAGUCCAUCACCGUCAUAUCGUAUUGCGAUAACAUCUCUGUCAGCUGGCUCUUCCUCUCGCCCUCCCGGAAGUUAAAGACGAGGAAGGACGAAUCGGGGAACUGCUCGUGGAUUUGCAUCGCGAUCUGGCGCAAGUAGAGCUUGUAAGUCUCCUCCUCGAAGACGUCCGUGGAGAAGCACGAGUCAAAGACUGGAUUUCACAAAAGAAUGGAUCAAUGCGCUGGGAAUGGAGAUUGGAAUGGAUCGAGGGCGAGCGAGUGCUUACCGAAAACCCUCUCGGAUAUCUCCAGGAGCCCAUCGGGGGGCCUCCUGUAGAAAAAUCGGCGGAAAAGCGACAUUCUCCCAUGCAAUGACGAGCGCCUGGAUUCUCCACGCCCCAGAGAAUUUUCACCUCGAUCACACAGGCUGUGAUCUUAGCUCAAUGCGGCCAUCGCGAACCCGCAGCGCAUCGAAAUCCCUGCCUGGACUUGCCUGAUAUCGAUCGGCGCCAUAGCCAGUAAGCUCAUCCGCCGUGCGACAGAAACCCAGGAACCCUAGGAGCUCCCAAGAGAUCUGAUCCGGUACCUAAGUUUAAUCCCGCCUCUCCUGGAGAGAGAACAUUGAGCGCCGGAGAAGGGGCCUCACAGCCGUCGGAUCCAACAGAUCGAACGGCCCCGAUUAAAACAACCAUUCCUCCCGUUAAACCUCUAUUUUCUCAUUUAAGGGGAGUUAUCAUUAAAUUUAGGUUAAAUUUGGCCAGCUCUUUGGCUUUGCACUGAGUCUUUGCUAGGGAGACGCUCCAAGGAGGAUGUGAUCCGCGACAAGGAAACGGAUGCUUGCUCUGGAUGCCAGCAUUCUAGCUGCAAUCCGCGAGUCGGCGAGCGCUGGGGAAGAAGGCGAGAAUGUAGGUUGAUUUGAGGCGCUCACGCUCGAUCUCGCAGGAUUUCGCCGGUGUCUGGCCGAUUUUCGAUGCGGCACAGUCUCGCGACUUCCGGAAACAGUAACACGCAUUUUUUCGCUGUGUUUCUGGAAAGAAAUUUCUUUCUUUCCAGAUUAUCCAGGGUCUUAUCAACGAGCUAGAGGCUCAAGGGGCUUGGAAGGGGCUUUACCUCGGAGUAGCUCUCGGGUGUCCAUGCUGUGGUCAGAGUUGGGUCUUGUUUUGCCUCCGUGGUUCCUAUGAUUGAAUUUUUUUCGUUUUUCCUUCUCUAGAUUUGUAGAGCUAUUAUGGCAGCUCUCGGCCCACGCUCUGAGAGAAGUUCAUCGACGGAACUUCCCAGCGGAUGUUGCCGAGAACCCCUUGCCAGCGUCGUUCACGGAAUUCAUCACGCAAAAUUCACAUGCAUCAGCACUCCUUGCCGUGACAAAGGUGGAGUGUUCAGGCACGUAUUGCUCUAUAGCGUAGGCGUUUCCUGCAAGGUGCGUCUGCGGCCAUGCAUAAACAAGCGUUGUGGUCCGGUCUAGCUCAUGACAUGAGAUCCAUGGUGGCAGCGAGAGCAUAGUCCCCUCUCAUGGAAACAAAGUACCCGUGACCAUCGUGGAGCAGCCCGGCAGCGCUGCACGCAGCAAAAAUGGUGGUGAAGCUGACAACGUCUAGUCCUAGUCCUUGAAGCUCAGUCAACUCAAACAGCUCGCGAGCUCGUCGGCCAUGUCCGUUUCGAGCAAAGGCCGCCACUGUGGUCGUGCAGAGCAUCAAACUCCACUCCCAGGCCCGUCCUGCGAGAAGAUCUCCGCCGCGCUCGACACAUCUCCGCAUUUUCCAUACAUGUUGAUGGCGGCUGCUCCAGCAGUGACAUCGAGCAUCUCGCCGCUCGCCUCGACGCUCGAGGAGACAGCGCUGCCGUCCGAGAGAGCUGUGAAGGCCGCGCACGCGUCGAAGAUGCAAGCCAGAGCGACACCGUCCAUUCCCAGGCCGGCCAAGUCCAUGAGCUUGAAAGCUUUCAGCGCCUCGGCAGAGCGUCCGCUCCUGGCAUAGCUCGACACCAUCGACGUCCAUGACACGAGGGUCUUCUCCCGAAAGGCAUCGAAGACGAGCUUCGACUGCUCGAAUCUCCCACACUUGACGUACAUGUUGAGCGAGCCUCUCUCAACCGCAUAGGAGCAGCUCUGUCCAAGUCUCCGGCUCCAGAGCAGGCUUCCAGGACGCUCAGCACCGCCACCUUGUCGAAGUGGACGCCUUCUAGUACCAUCUUGUGGAAGCUCUUGAUCGCUCUCCGGCUUGAGUCGUUUGCCACGAACGCUCCGAGGCAGUCCAGGAUCUGACACUGGGGUGGCAGAGCUCUUCUCGAAGGACUUGCGAGCGCCUUCCAAGCUGCGGCAUUUCCCAUACAUGUUGAUGAGCAGGCAACUCAAGUCGACGUCCAAGCGGAGAUCAAGCGAGAGCUCCAGUUUUUUGUGGAGAAGCCUUCCAUGGUGGAGAUUGUCGCAGCAGUCGAGGAUGGUGAUCCACGUAGGGUAUGGAGGCUCACCUUCCAAGUCCAUCCGCUUGAGCAAGCUCAGAGCUCGAGAGAAGCUCCCGUGGCGAGCGUAGCCCGCGAUCAUCGAGUUCCAAGUCACGACGUCUCGGAGCUCUCCUCCGGCUCGCAGCUCAAACAUCUCCUCCGCGGCCGCGACCUCCCCGUUGGAUCCCAGCCCCGCCAGCAUUGAGUUCCGAGAGACAAGCUUCCUCUCGGGCAUUCGAUCGAAGAGCUCAGUUUCUCCGAUCCAGUCUGGCCCUUUUGGUUUCACGCAAUGAAUCUUCCAUGGGCAAACCAAUCAAAACACUAAAGGCAUUUUUAGGUUUAUAUAAUUAGUAUAUGGUACGUGUAUUUCCGUCCUCGCCAGAGGAUUAUCUAGAGGAGCUUCUAAGGAAUUUGCCGCUUUUUUGUGGAAUGCAAUGGACGGCAAAAUGGCUGCUAGAGAGGCUGACGGUUGAAGACCUUGGAUUCCAUUACAAGCCACUCGUUCUGAAGCUUGUUGAGCAGGGAUGCUUCCGUAGUGGCCACGAAUGGAACAGAGCAGGAAAGAAGAUCUAGGAGGUCGAUGUCACCUAAGCAGAAGAGAAGCCAAACCGACCGUGAUAUCCCUUCAAAUGCCCAGGACCUCUUCUCGAAUCUGCAAAAAGCUCUCUUUCUCGGUUUCUGGGAAGAUGUAUCACUUCAAAGGGAAAUUGCGUUUCAAAAGGAGUUUGAGCAGUUGAGGAAGUGCAUCGAAAAGUUGGGGGAGUCAAACGACUUUGUCUUUCUCAUCGAUAACUAUCAGAAACUAGAUGAACCCAGGGUGGCGGACAUUAGAGGAAAGAUUGAGUCCGUUGAGAGUUUAUGCUCCAAGACUCUUUGUGCACGCCGCGACACUGUCAUGAGGAGUUUGUUAAGUGGCAUAGAUUGCCUUUUGUACCGAAAAAUUGCAGUGUUCACGGUGGGGGAAGCUCAAACCUUUCUCGGUGCGCAUGGAAUUGCGAAGGGGAGCGAUUUCCUACCUGACCGGGAGGCUUCCUGUGCUCGUGUCCGGGUACGUCACUGCAUCCAAAGCGAAGUGCGACUUUAAAGCUAUGAAACAAGUCAAGGUCAUGGUGACUGCUCUAGAAAGGAUGGUCCGGGGUGUUGAUUCACUCCCUGCGGCCGAUCGAAUUGCUGCAGUUCAGGCGUUUAUUGUUUGUUCCAGAAAGGGUGGAGGUUGUUUGCUCAAGUUUCUUGAUAUGAGAUGGGUUCUGGAAGGUGCCGAGGACACUACGAUUCGUCUCCGAUUUUGCAAGGGACAUUCUGAUCCAAACACUCGAAAAACUGUCAAAUCAGUUUUGUGAAAUGAUCGUGAUUGAUUACACCAGUGAGAUCGUCCUGGAGUGUAGAAACCCUGGCAAAGCACGUUUUCAUCAAUGUUGUCCGGAGGUGGUCCUUUUCUGGUCAUCCAGAUCCACAAAGGUGCUGCUUCUUUUCAGAUAAGCCCAAUGGAUUCACGCAUAUUCCAACUCUUUACAUCCCUCCUGUCGGCUAUUUCUACGUGGACGCUGGAUUGAGAUACGAAGCCAACGGGAGACUUGUGGUCAGAGUUUUCCAAGUUAGUUUGGGCCUCCAGAGUGGAGACGAUCAUUGGAAAACCACAGACAAAUUCAUGGAUUCUGAGCAAUGCGGAAAUUUUUCGGCACAAUGUGAUCCGUAUCAGAUCCACUGGAUUUACUCGUGGAUUGGAAGGGAAUGCGAUCGCCCUUCUUGGGCUCCCAUGAAGACGACUCAGACAGCCGCCGGAAUUACAUGUCAGGAAGAGUUUUUUUCGUUUGAGGACAUAGCAAAGGAAAUUCCUUCCAAGCUGUCAACAGGGGUGUACAUUGUACAAGGGUUACAAAGUGUCUCAGGCUCGGAGUACAAGUUCAACAGUGCCUCUUGUCUUGGGCUCCAGCUCUGGCUCUGGCUCGGGCUCGGGCUCGGGCGGAUGCGAAACUGGAAGCACCACUAUCCCGAGCCCGAGCGUAACUGAAUUAAGAAGUCCACCAAACGCCGACCACGAUGUGGGGACAGCAUGCAGAAGUUGGCAGCGAAGAAGAAGAAGGAUUAAACUGUAUCUGGAUGAGCUUUCCCUUAAUUCGAAGAUUUCUUGUUCCCCAAGAGUUUGCCGGCUCAGGGUGUUGCCAGAUUGCCUUCAGCGGGCUCCAACUCACGCACUUUUACUCGAACUUCGCUCCCUCGAAUGCCAGGCACCACCACUCGGGCGAGAAAUUCUCCGUGUCGAUGUAGGGUGAUGUCAAGGGUGACUCAAAGCUGAUGGCUAUAGAGUGAGUGCGAAAGAGAAGAGGGAGGUUACUUUCUCUGCAGUCGUACCUUUGCAGAAAGUUUCUCCAGUUUCUCGACGUCUGCGCGGCCUUCACAGCUCUCUCGGACGGCAGUGCUAUCUAUUCGAGCGGCGAGAAGUUCGAUGUCACUGCUGGAGCAGCGGCCAUCAACAUGUAUGGAAAAUGCGGAGAUGUGUCGAGCGCGGCGGAGAUCUUCUCGCAGUACCGGGCUUGGGAGUGGAGUUUGUUGGUGACAUGGCCGACGAGCUCACGAGCUGUUCGAGCUGAUUGAGCUUCACAAUCCAUGGUUUUGAAAGUGGAAACUGCAAAGAAAAGGAUAUAUAAAUGAAUGCUCUAAGAAAUGCCGCAAGGUGCAAUGAUCCGUUAUCACCUCUGCUGGAGUGACUGCACAAUGGCUUCAAUGUCAUUGCACUUCCUCUAGAAGUAUGAAACUGGAUAAUCAUCUUCAAUGCAAAGUUGGACGCAUCAUACAACACUCAUCCAAAGUCGGACAAUACUAGGAAGGAAUCCAAUCCUUGGUGGAUCGAGUCAAUCUUGGAUUGGAAACGAAUGCCAUGAAGUGUGAAGUUUCUUAGGAUUGAACCUCAAACUCGCAUUUGGUUUUCGUAGCAUAAAGUUUAUUCUUGCGCAAUCAUUUGGAAUGCCAUUUGCAAAUGUUCAAAGUGCUUGAGGAUAGUCCGCAAAAACUUGAUUCACAUGGCAUCACCACGUGGUAUUGCAUAAUUGUCCCUCGCCAUUACCUCGUUCAAGGCAUAAUAGUCGACACACCAUCUUUUUUACAUAUGAACAAGACAGAGGCUCCAACCAAAGGGUGACUUCAAGGGGCAGAUAAAUGUUCAGUUAGCAAAACAUCUAGGAACUCCAAUAGUUUCUCAAUUCUUCAUUCUCCCAACUAACAGUAUUUAAACUCAGUAAUCCCACCCAUCAAGAAUUUGCACUUCAAAAACGAGAGGAUUCCCUCUCAAAACGUUAAAAGUAUACUUUUGAGGCAACUGGGUCAAAAAGUCAAUGAAAGUCAGCUUAAUCAAUAAAAUGCCAACAGAGUCAAUUCAAAGUAAAUGUAAGUCUUCAAAGGCUAUGUUAGACUUUCAUUGACUACCCUUGACUGAGUUGAAAUUAAGCUCACCUAAUGAGUUGAGCUGAAUUUUGGUCCAUCUCUGUUUCUAGGAUUGCUAGAUAAUUUUAUUUGCAUCCCAUCAAAUCUCUUAUCAAUUACAUCAAACUCCACUAUUUUCCAAUAGCUGGUUGACCAUGAAAACAGAUUUCUCUCUCCCCUUAUCAGCAUCUUAUAGCAGCAUGAGAGAAUGAAUCUUCUCCUCUUAAUCCUUUCAGUGCUUUAAUAUUUCCAUACCUCUCUGGUUUCUUGCUAGAAGAAGAAAUUCUGAAAAACUUCCUUCAGGACCAUUCAAUUUGCCAGUCAUUACCUGCACUCCCUCACACUUUACUCCACAAACUUUCGCGGGCUGAGGAUACGUUUUUAAAUAUAAUUGAUUUAUCCUUUUGCACUCAACAAAGUAAAUGAGUGAUAUGGUGAUUUAAGGCUUGGCAUAUUGUAAUUACCUCAAAAAGAGCCGCCAUAGAGAUUUUUUAAGUUCCAUGCCUUUGAGAUUGCUCUAUUGAUAUUUGAUAAAUAUUUUGUCAAUGGAGCUUUUUAUACUAAACUGUAUAAGUUCUAUCCUAUGUAGGUACAUGAUGACAUUACUGCUGCCAUGAUGUCCACUUUGAUGAUCACUGAGAUUACUGUUUCAAUGUCUCAUCAAGCUUGUGGAAAGUAGUAGUUGUUGAUCUGCUCAGGUCUCCAGGAAUUACACACCAAUCAGUCAGGAAUAAUUUAUAUAUAGAGUGUGAUUGACAUAUGAAUUGCAAUUCAUUUUCUCUUCAUGAUAUUAGAGCACAGGCUUAUUACUUUUCUUUUCUUUUUUUUGUUCCUAUUUCUUGCUCUCGUUACUGAUAGAGCAAUUGGCUGCUACCAUUCUUGCAAAUCUCUAGCCUCAAAGUGUUUUUGGUACCAAAUGUUUUUGUGUAUAUUUUUUAAAGACCCAGUCAAAAGUGGAGAAUACAUGUACUUACCUUUAAAAUAGUUUAAGUUUUUGUACGAAGAAAAUGGAAUAUGCGGCAUUGAGCUCGCAGCAGCGCAAGAACAGCAGCUCCGAUCGCCCGGUUUCAAGCCUGGCUUUCGUGUCGGACGUGGUGGACAAUAGGGGAUCGAUUGCCGCCUCAAAAUCCCGCUCUACUUCACCGCCCAGGAUAGCUCGCCAAGUGGCUCGUUCGCAAGUUUGAGAAGACGCCACUGUUGCAGGGAGUGUGCACCGCCUGCUGUUUUGCAUUGACGAGUGUUGUUUUGGAAAGGAGUUUAAAGAGGUCUUUAACAAACGAUUGCCAAGAACAGUGAUCAACUGCAAGGCAAAGAUCAAAAGAAGAAAGACACCCAAAAGACAAAGAAGUGGAACUAGAAGCUAGAAAUCUCUCAUUCUAACUUUGAAGCUUACAAGAAACACUAGUAUAAACAAGCUAGACUUUAAACCAAGGAUUGUAGAAACUCCCACUUUCCUUCAGGCCUCUUCUCUUGCUUGGAUGAUUCCUCGUUCUUCUUUUUCUUGUUCUUGCUCUUGUUCUUCUUACUCUCUGCUGAUGGCUUGUCUUCCACCUUCUUCUCGACCUUCUUCUCGCUUUCUUCCAUGAUCACAUCCUCCGAUUCCGUAGGCUCUGGGAACCCCUCAAUGACCUUCAUGAGCUCGCGGGUCUCGUCGUUUGGAUCGAUCUCAAACCUGGCCAACAUUCUCGGCCCCGGCCGCUUCCCCGCCGCAACGUAAACUUUGAGCAUCUUGUUAUAGAGGUAGACGUCUCCACGGUACUGGAAGAGAUAGGCACGGAUCAACUUCUUGGUGGCGAGUGUGUCUUUUUUGCUCUCGAGCACCGGGAGGAGGCCCACAACUGCCUCGUAGCUCGGGCGGCUCGAUCCGAGCUCCUCCAUCUUCUUCAAAGCCUUGUCCGGGUCGUUUAAAGACAAAUAUCCCUCCACCAGAGCGUUGCAAGGAUAGAAGUUCCGGUACUGAUCCUCGGCUCUCUCCUCCAAGAGCUUCUCCGCCUUGUCCAUCAUCCCCAUCUUGGCGUACACGUCGAGCAUCUUAAAGUACUGGUUUCUUCCCGGGAUCACCUUGACCACCUCCACGGACUCCCGGAGCAGCUCCUCGGCUCUGUCCACGUCCUGGAGGUAGCCAAACGCGAGCAUUGCACUGAAGUAACAGUUGCGAAAGGUCCCUCCCGGCUGGGCCCGUAUGAUGCUCCAGAUGUUCUCGACUUUGUCUCGAUCGCCCAAGUAUCCAUACAUCUCCAGCAUGUAGUUCCGGAUCAAUGGCUCUGCGGCAUGCGGAUCAAUCUCUUCCAGAGCAGCUCGAGCUUCUUCCUCGAUUCCUGGAAGACCCCCAACCCUCUUGUGGUACUUGAGAAGCAUCAGCAUGACGAUCUCCAGGGUCGGCUUGAUUCCCAGCUCCUUCAUGUCGGUGUAAAGAGCCAGCAUCUUUUCGUGCAUGGCCAAGAAGGCGUACACGGAGAUCAUGGAGCUGUAGAGCGCUGGGGUGGUGGGCUUGAGAUCUUUGAUCAGAGAAAGUGCCUUGGACGCUGCGUUGAUCCUUGUCAGAGCCCGGAGGUAUGCAGCUACUACUUCCUCGUUGGACCGGAACUUCUCAGGGAGGGAAUUGAUUUUUUUCUGCCCUGCGAAGGACCCAAGCUUGCGAGUUGCAAUGGUCACCUCCUGCUUGGCAUCCUCGAGCGAGAAGACGAAAUCAGUCCUCUGGCGAGCGAAUUCCAUCACCUGUUACAAAAAAACUUUAGGGAACGAAAAACAAAUCACAGUCACUCAACGAGAACACGCCAAAACUAAGACGCGAGAAAAAAAAUCAAUGCGCAAGAACGAAGAAAGCAAAGAUACGAGAACAACACGCAAAAAAAAAAAGCAGCAAGAAAUGGGAGAACGAAGAACAGGAAAGAGGAGAAAGAAAAGAAGAAAGCCCUUACCCGCAAUGCUGCGAGAAAUCUCUUCUGGACACAAAGAGCUUCGAUGACCUCGGAGAUAUUUCCCUGCGUGACAGUGUUGCCUUGGGCGGCCCAUGCCUCGAUCCUCCUCACAGAGAGAUCGGGAGUCUUUAAGCACAGGCUAACGAGGCUGCCCUUCUCCUUCUUCCCUUCUUCCGGAUCGUUGCCACUCUCAUCUUCAUCCUUGGCGUCCGCCGCCUCGGCAUACGCUCGCCGGCAGCCAAGACUCGCAGAGGGAUUUAGCCUCGGAGGAGCGAAAGAAUGCUGGCCAUUACUCCAUCUGGAAGAGCGCGGGGAUGAGAUUGCAGCUAAAAUGCGUCUGGGAAUCCCCGUUACCUGGAUGGCGCGACGAUGAUUCUCCACGCCCUCGACGCAGUAGCACGCAUCGCGAGAAACAAAACCCUAAAAAAGGGUUCAGGGUUUAUGGCUUUAAAGCGGCUAGGGUUUAAACGAUCUUCUCUUUCGAAAUGGAAUGGAGGAAUUGGCAGCCCAGCUGCGAUCGUGUGGGCGCACUCGCGAUCUCGCCCAUGCCCGGACUCUCCACAGUCGGAUUCGCCACAGCAAGCAUCGCAACAGUAGAUUUCUCGCCAAUCUUGUCGUGGAGAUGUAUGGGCGCUGCGGGAGCACGGCCGACGCCCUGGCGGCCUUCCAGUCAAUCGACAAGCCCAAUUCCUUCUCCUGGAACAUCGUGAUCGCGGCAUUCGCCCACAACGGCCAGAUCGACACCGCGCGGGCCCUCUUCGACCAGAUGCCCGAGAGAGAGAGAAGCCAAGACCCAAUCUCUUGGAAUUGUCUCAUCACUGCGUAUGGCGAGCGCGAUCGUUCGGGCGAAGCGCGCGAGCUCUUCGAUCAAAUGCCCUCUCGCGACACGAUUUCCUGGAACGCAAUGCUCGCAGCGUAUGCCCAACAAGGGAAUCUAGACGAAUCUAAACUCCUCUUCGAUCGCAUGCCCAACAAGGACAUUAUCUCGUGGAACACCCUCAUCUCUACGUACGGAAGAACUGGCCAGUUUGAAAUGGCCCAAGCUACGUUCGACGCAAUGGCUGUACGUAACUCUGUGACGUGGAACUCUCUCCUAGCAGCAUAUGCCCAGACCGGGCAUCUACACAAAGCGGAAUCUUUACUAGAUUCCAUGCCCGGGCAUCUACGUGAUGCUGUCACCACGACCAUCAUGGUAAACGCAUAUACCCAGGCAGGGAAAAUCCAGGAAUCUAGAAGAAUAUACUCCAGCUGCCACAACAAAGAUGAUUUUACUUCCAGCGCUAUGAUACACGCGUAUGCCCAACACGGGCAUCUCCACGAAGCUAAGCAAAUUUUCGACACAUCUCCACACCACGACGCUGUCUCCUGGAACUCCAUGCUUGGAGCUUACACCAAAAACGGCCACUUUCACGAAGCUUUGCUUCUCUUCCAAAAAAUUCCCACCAAGGACGUUGUCUCCUGGAACUUGAUGAUUGUCACGUACUCUCAAACCGGCGAUUUUGCCUCGGCGAUUCGGUUCUUCCGCGCUAUGGAUCUCGAUGGCGUUCAUCCUGACAAUGUAACUUUCCUCGCUGUGAUAGAAGCCUGUGGAAGCCAAGCGGACCUGUUGCUGGGACGAGCAAUCCACUCGGAGGUCUCCCACCCCGAUAUACUUCUCGUCAAUGCCUUGAUCGGGAUGUAUAGCAAGUGCUCGAGCUUGGAGGCCGCCAGAGAAAUCUUCGUGUCCUGGCCUUGCAAAGACGUGGUGUUGUGGACGAGCCUUGUCUCGUCCUAUGCUGAAAAUGGUCGAGGGCAGGAGUCACUCCACCUCUUCCAAUCGAUGCAGCUCGAUGGUAUCAAUCCCGACCAGGUGACUUUCAUCGCUAUCCUGUCCAAGUGUGCUCAAGCCGGCCUUCUUCACGCGGCUCACACCUUCUUCUCCUGUAUCCCCAACCACGGCCUUGUUCCAGCGCUGGAUCACUACGUCUGCCUGGCUGAUGCUCUGGGACGAUCUGGCUGGAUAGAGCAAGCCUCGGAGCUUCUCGACUUAAUGCCGUACGAACCCGACGCUGCCGCUUGGACGAGCCUUCUCUCUGCCUGUAACGUUCACCACCACACUACUUCCAGCAUUGGUGGAGCAGCGGCUCUGCGAGCUUUGAGUCUACACCCGAGCGACGGCACUCCGUAUCUCCUGUUAUCAAACCUGCGCUCUCAAACUGUGAUCUCGGCUGUCCAGAGUCACUCCUCGUAAUCGGUCAUAAAGUCUGGCUCGCUGGGCUUGUAAAGUAAACGAGCCGUGGCUCUGCUUGAUCUCAACCGCUGGACACCCCGCAUUGCGUUGACAGCAAACUUAGAGGCGAACAAGGCUGCUCCGAAGCUGAUGGAAGUAGAAGUUUUAAGCGGUGCCCCUCCGUCGUCUAUGAGACUGGCUAGUAACUCGAGUUGCCGCUUUUGGUCUUGUUUCUUAACGUGACGUCUCCAGGCAGCUUGAAUGUACUGAGCUGCCCAGGUACGCCACUGCUGCGAGUAGUAGCGUAUCGUAUGCUGGAGCUGUUUGCUGUGCAUCCUUCGGAACUGACCGGCCACAAAUCUCAAGUCCUCGGCUUUGAAAGAGAAACCUUCCACCUCUUUCAACGCUUUAACCGUCCGAGUCGAGGUCGGAAGGUUUUUCGGCUUUGGGAGCAAAGCCCAGGACAAGAGUUCUUCGCCACAGAAAUCUCCCGGCCCCAGAAUGCUCACGUUCAAAAAACCUGUGCGCCCUCCAUCUGUAGUUACACUUUCCAAGUUUCCUCGGAUAAUAAACAGCAUCUCGUUGACAGGAUCACCUUCCCGAGUAAUAAACGUUCCUUCCGUGUGAAGAGCAGAGGUAAGUCUCUCACACAUAGCAUCUAAAAGUCGUUCGUCCAUCUGACUAAACAAUGGGACCUGUAAACAUCAUGACUUAGCUCGAGAUGAAAGUAGAUAGCCAAGCAACUUACCCUGCGAACUAGAUUCAGGCAAAGAUGCCGCUUGAUAUCUCUUUUCAGGUCAACUGGUAAGCUUUGGACGAGCGCUUCUUCGUCAACUCCCCUUGUUGCCACCCAUUUCUGCUGGUCAUAUCUCCGUACUCGAUCACGUAGCUCAGGCGGCAAUUGCCGGUGGCUCAUCCACUGCUCUGUGUCACGACGUUUAAGCCUCAUUUGUUCCAACCUCACUGUAACAGAUUGCAAGUACGUCUGCAUAAACACAAAAGAAGCUAAAAGAAUGACGCUUUGAGAAAGACAGGGCAACCGACCUGCAUGUUUCCAAUGAGCAGAGCGAACAGAACUAAUCCCAGGAUCGCGAUAACAAUAGCAAACAGAAUCUCCCAAACAAACGUACUUGUUUCCAGAUUUUGACCCAGCGCACUACAGAGCGCACGUUCAUUGUGAGUCCAAGAAUAUAAAAAGACGCGCUCAUACCUCAGGUUACGCAAUCCCCACCACAGACAGUAGAAAUAUUUCUUGAAGAACGCGGUGUUUGUUGUGAUUCCGUUCUUGAGAGCUUCAUUAUAAAUGCCAAAGUUGAAGCUGUCCUGAUCGGCGGAGCAUCGUUGACUUAUAUCGGUCGAGUUAGCCCAUUGCCUCCGCUGCCCGGAUAAACCAUUUGUCCGACUUUGACAGUCCAGAAAGCGCUUGCACAAGUGUAUACCAAAAGUGGUAUCACGCCGACAUUCUCUACGCCAGCAAGUGUCCUGGCGUUCCACCGCUAGCAAGUACCACGUAGCGCCAAGUACCUGCAAUAAAGAACAACGGUUUCCUUAAAGUUGGAUGGAUGUAGACGGCACGACACAGACUUACAUGACUUGCGAGCAUGAAAAGUAUAAGAUUGUAUGCCGCUCCAGCCCACGGAGUCUCCAGCACCAUUCCAGUGCUCUUGACCAUCUUCAUUGUUAACGGAUAGAUCCUGAGCAGCCGCGGGAGGUACUGGAAAAAGACCACGAAUCUCAAGGCGGUCUUAGUGCUUGCUGCCGGUGUGCUCUUCAGAACUGGUAUCAAAAUCCAGAUUAUGAACUAGAACAAAAGUUUGGAUUAGCCUUGCCGGAAAAAAAAAAAAGAAAAAAAAAAGAAAUAGAGAGAGAGACAAUAAAGACGGCAGACCUGUGGAAGAGGCAAGACAGCAACCAAGUCAAGCCAGAAGUUCCUGGUGAGAUACUUCAUGGCAAUUUGCUUCGUAUCCACGACGAGCUCUCCUUUCCCAAAAACUUGCGAAGAGGGAGCGAUGAAACCCAUCCGGAACUCCAAAACCAUGUGUAGAAUGUAGAACAAGUCGGUGAGUGUUCGCAGCAGUGUCACGGCGAUGGCGAGAUCGGUCUCGAUUCUCACGCAAAUGCUAUUGCUCACCACCGGAAGGUAGAAGAAGAGUGGAUCCACAAACACGGCGAUCCAGCAGGAGACGACGAAGAAUUUGUUCCACUGAUGCACGAAAUUGCUGCGUGGAUCCAGGACCUUGGAAUUCGGCAGCCUGUCAUCCAGCUUAAAAUCCGAUGCCUCCAUCACUUUGUCGAGAUCCCACACCGCCGCGCCUGGAAUCCCCUGGCUGUCCCACUUGUGCCUAAGAGCAGCAUCAUCCAUGGGCUUGUAGUGCCCAUUCUCGGCCGGGCGCACCGAAUUCGAGACAUCCGAGCUAAGAUCGCUCGGGAACCUGACGGGCGAGAGGAGAAUCGAGGGAAAAAAUAAGCUUGAGAUUCCAAGAAUGUUCCCUACCUGACGAACGAUCGCCCCAUUUCUGAUCGCCGAUCAACAAUGACGCGAAUCCCCCGCCGAGAGGGCGCAUCAAAUCCUUGACCCCAGCGUCGCGAUGAACCCUAAAGACCGUCCUGUUCACGAUAAUCAAAACACACGAUGCCGGCACUUUUGUCCCAGUCCUUUCUAUCCUUUAGGUAACUUGGGUAAAUCCGACAACUAUCCAAGUUAAAAAAAUAAUUGAUAGCUGAUCGAUCACUCGGGAAUUUUCUCUAGAGCUCCAUUCUCGCCCUCUAGAUCUUUCGCCGGAGGGGGAAGAGGAUCGCCAUCCUCUUUCACUCCUCCAUCGCCACCAUCGCCACCAUCGCCAUCGCCAUCUUCUUCUUCAUCGCCAUCGCCAUCGCCAUCGCCAUCGCCCUCCUCCUCGUCGUCUCCUUCAUCGUCUUCCUCAUCCUCAUCCUCGUUCUCCUCCUCUUCCUCCUCGUCGGAGUUUGCCCGGUACUCACUGUCCGCAACCUCGCGGGUGGCUUGCUCCUCGGCCCGCCGGAACCAGUCGGCGAUGGCCUCCUUGUAAAUCUUGGCCUUCUUCGCCUCUGGAACCUCCUCCUCCGCCUUCUCGAUGUUCCCCUUCCUCUCCGACCAGGGAGGGAUCGUCACCACCACAGCGCUCGAGUGAAACCACGAAACGUCCACUUGCUCGGUCCGGUAGCGUCCACACUCCUUCCCAGUGAUCCACGCAAAAUUCCUCAAGCACCACUUCAAGUUGGCGUCCGUCUUGACACCGUCGCGACCUCUCGGGAGCUCCUCGGCUGCGGUGGUAUCCCUGUCCAGAUCGUCAAAGCCUUCCCGGAACUCUCCCAAGAAUCCUGGAGCUUUCUCGCCGACGAUCUUCCCCAAGUAGAGCAGUGCCGGGUUCUCGCUCUCGCUGUUCUUGUAGACUGGCUUGAGCUCCACUUCCAGCCCCGCUGCCUUUGCUGCCGCGAACAGCAUGGCAUCGGCCCCCUUGAGCAGCCAAGUCUUGUCAUCCCUGAGACCAUCGACCCUGAGCUCGUCGCUAACUUCGUACUGCUGCUGGCAAGCAAAACCCAGGACACCACCAUCGGGGUAGAAGUUCGCGUUGUUGGUGGCUUCGAUCCAGAGCUCGUAGAGCGGCAGGGUGUGAGCGUCAACCAGAGUGUCGUUCACUCCUACCACUCUCUUUCUCUUGUUACUGUCCACCAGUCUGAAAAGCUUGUAAGUCAGUGUGAUCUGGUAGCCCGAAGUUACCUCGGUGAUCAAGUGGUCGCAACCGGCAAUGAAAGCUACCCAGUGGAUUGACUCGGUGGUGUCCCAGGUCGAGAAAGUAUUGAGCUUGCUUCCGGACUUUCUCACCAUGACCUCUCCGCCCGUGAAAGAGAAUGGAAGUCCGACGAUCAAGUAGCCAAAGACGUCGCCCUCUUCGUUUGGGAGCAUCGAGUCAUUGAGCUCUCGCUCGCCGCCGGUGACGAUCACUGUGAGCUUGUGGAGCUGCGCGCGGAGGAUGGCGCCGGGGCCGAGGAGCUUGGUGAUCUCGUCCAUGAUGAAGAACUUGCCCAGAUCGAAGUUUGUGGCGAAAGAAUGGGGGUCGAGCUCGUGAACAAGGUGUCCUGGGAGUUUUUCUAGAGCUAGAAUGGAAGAAAAGAGGAUUUCUAACUACCUUCUUGGAGAUUUGCGGUCUCGUCCAGGAGCUCCUCGAUGCCGGUAUCAUCGUAAGGCUCCACGGGAAGGUGGAGAUGGCCGUGAGAAUCGUUCUCCUGGACGAUAGAUCGAUCGAUGAGAAAUGUAUUUUGGUAGACCGAUCGAUCGAUCGAUCGAUCGAUAUAUUUUCGUACCUUCGUGUACCAGAUCCCAAUCCCUUCCUGUGGCAGCGGCAAUGAUCCGCCGCAGCAAAAUCUCCCUUCGCUCUUCUUGAUGGCGGAGUUGAUGCCGCGGAUGAUGCUCGUCUCGUCCAUCUGGCCUAAAACCCUAGAACAUAAACCCUAAGGUGGAAAAAAAAUCAAAAUAAAGGCUGGAGCAAAAUGGCGCUUAUUUUUGGCCAUGGCCGCCUCGCGAUCGCUCCUCCUCCUCCUCCUCUCUCUCCACGCGCGGAGAAUCUCGAUCGAGCCGGCCAGACCCGGCGCACGGUUCUCACCGAUCGUAAUCGCACCAAGCUCAACAUCGCUCCAGAUCGCGAUUUCUACGCAUUCCCCAGGCUCGUCACGCACGUCGACGAUGGAUUCAUCCGGGAGCUCACGGAUGUCUACCGGCAGCGCAUUCCAGCGGGAUCCGAGGUCCUGGAUCUCAUGAGCUCCUGGGUGAGCCAUCUCCCCCCGGAAUUCUCCUACAAGAGAGUCGUCGGCCAUGGCCUCAAUGCCCAGGAGCUCCUCAAGAACAAGCGCCUGGACGAUUUCUUCGUCAAGGACCUCAAUCGCGAUCCAUCCUUGAGCGGAAUCGCGGCCGAGAGCUUCGAUGCCGUGGUGUGUGCCGUGAGCGUGCAGUACCUGGAGCAGCCGGAGAAGAUUUUCGCGGAGAUUCUUAGGGUUCUUCGCCCCGGGGGAGUGUGCAUCGUGAGCUUCAGCAAUAGGAUGUUCUACGACAAGGCAAUCGCGGCGUGGAGGAAUGGGAGCGAUUACUCGAGGAUCCAGCUCGUGGUCCAGUACUUCCAGGCCGUGGCUGGAUUCACGCAGCCGGAGAUCAUCAAGAGGAUUCCCGGAAUGGUGGACGAUUCGACUCUCAUCUCUCGCCUCCUCAAUUUCUGGCGAGCGCCAGGGAAAGAUCCAUUCUACGCUGUGAUCUCCUACAGGAACAUCAAGCCGGUGUGAUCCUGGAUUCGCAAUGCUCCUUCGCGAUCGAUCGAUCAACCGGAGUUUCGCAUAAGAUUUUUGCAAAAAAAAAAUUACCAUUAAAAAUUUUACAAAACUUCAGGGGUCGGAAUAUGACUUAUACUUCGAGACACACAGACGGGUCAUCAGACGCAUACUCUACGACCCAAGAAGUACAUGUGUACAAAACGCGACACUAUUUAAAGAGAUGAGCUUCAUUUGCGCUUGGGCAUGUGGGAUAAUUGUGCUUUGCCCUAGACCUAAGCAGGGCAAAGUCAUCAAAAUAUGGAAUAUGUUGAUUUUUAAAUUGUCAGUUUUUAAAAUUGAUUGCGUCAAGAAGCUCCCAUCCAGCUGUCAAAAAUGGAAGGGCUGAAAUAUGUUCUAUCGGAGAGCAGCCUGGAUUUUCCCGAGUACGUGAGAUUGCUCAAGAAAUGUGGCCAGGAGAGGGCUUUGGCCCAUGGCAAUCUCGUCAGGGAUCACGCCAACGACGAGCACGACACCAAUAUGAUCAUCCAAAUGUAUGGGAGAGGGGGAGAUGCAAGAGGCCCGAGGAUGCCCACGAGGUCUUUGAUCGAAUCAAGCAUCGCAAAGCCUUCUCCUGGAGCAACCUCGUCGAGUGCUACGUCCAGAAUGCUAUGUACCAAGGAGGCACCGGAGAUUUACAAGGAGAUGGUAAGAGAAGAGAUCUCCAUCGACACUUACACACUUUCCAGCAUCUCCUCUAGGCACCCGCACUUCACGAAGAGAUGGAUCAAAGAAGGGGUGGUGGCCACCACCACGUCCUUCUGAAAUCCAAGCUCCCCGGCUUUUCACCCCUUCUUCGUCCAAGAGCUUGCAUGCCGCCAGGGCAUGCAAGCUUUCGGUCCAUGGCAGCAAUGCGAGACACACUGGAAGAUGCGAUCACAGGGGCUCGUAGUAAUCCUUGGAGCUUGCUCAGUCCGGAUCCUUUGCGAUAACGGCCACAAGUCAUGACAGUCCGAGCAUGGCGUCCAAGAUCAUAGACUGGCAUAUUAUUGCCCGAGAUGGAACUCGGUUUCAUCACUUUGAUAUAGAAUUUGCUCUACUGUCUCUCUUUCUUCUGGGAUUUUAAGUUUCAGUGAUCGAAGAUCAAAUAGAGAUCUCGUCAACCAAAGGGGGAACUCUGCAACAUCGGACGUUGGAAAAACCAUUGUACGGCAAGACACAAAGAGAAGCAGUGUAAGACCUUUGAUGGUGGUCAAAACUAUCCAGAGUGUUCUUGCACCGGUCUUGCAAGAUUGAAAAGAGGUGCCUGUUUUGAUCUUAUUGCUUCUCCAAACCUUGGACAUCCAGCCAGCGAAUUUGUUGAUAAGUUUCCUGUAAAAUUUCACUUCUGGAGUGUAUUGGCUGAAAGCUAUACCAUUGUAGUGGUCUCCAAAGUAAUUUCCAGAGACGAGAGGAGCAACACCGUUUUGCUCGAUCCCUCUGUGACGAACGCGGGAGUCUGGUCCUUCUGCGGCAUGACCAUGAACGUGAUAACUUACAUGCUGGCUAAUGUCGAAGCGAUAGUGGACAUUUUGAGGCUGGCCGGGGUUUUCAACGUACAUGCCGGGGAAACUCCGGUCAAUGGAGCUUUAGAAGCAAGCUCGAGGGAAUGGAGCUUAAAAAUCUCUCUGGCAGCUCUCUCGGAGCUAAUUACAGUUUUCUAAAAUUUCUUCUUCUAUCAAGAAAUUAGUCAUGCCAUCAUUAUGGUUCUUUUUUUUUUUUUUCCUUUUAAAUGGUGAUGAGCAAGAAACAGCAGUGACUAUGAGAGCUAUAUUUUAUUCAUCAAAGCUGUGCGAGUUAGGGUUUGCGAUGGAGAGGAUGAGCCCAAGCAUUAGGGAGGCGCUCAAAUUAGCAGAGGAGCGAACUCGUGAGGCACUGAAGAGCUACGAGGAGCAGUCCCGGGCUGUCAAGGCUGCCCGGUCAAGGAAAGAAUCGGCCGACAAGAAGAAAGGAUUGGAGGCGCCCAACCCGGAGUCCGAGGUAUCAGAAAAAGCUCCGCAAGAACUCCUUUGACAAGCCGGACAGGCGUCUCUGUGUCAAGGAGAGAUGACUGUGUAAAAUGAUCUUGGGUAGUUUCCAAUAGGAUGUUUAGCGAUCGCUGAAGGAUUGCAGGUAGUGAUCACCUCCUCCUCCAUUAGCGAUUCCCGCGUCGGUAAGGGCAGGGAUAUACAGGGACCGGAUUUUUUUUCUUGUGAAAGAUCUUGCUCGCAUCAUAUGCCCAGCAUGGGCAGCUGGACGGAAUCGAGAAAAGCACCAUCAGCCUUGAUCGGAGCAUUCUACAAGGUGGCGUCCUGAGUCGAGGAUCACCAUUUGCGCACGAAUUGGAGCACUCGCUUGAUCUCGGCACGGAUGCGAACUUGAGUUGCCUGCUCGUCGACAUCAGCAGCUUGGAAGAUGCUUGUGAGAUGCUUCCGCAUGAGGAUGGCGCUGGACUUCGACACACGGUGGCGUUGCUAAGCGUCCUGGAAGUGAAAGAGAGCUCCUCCACGAGAGAGGCUGGCAAACGGACGUCUUGGUCGGACCGUGGUGCUGGUCUUUGAUUUAUUUAGCGAGGUGUACAGGUCCGCACGCUAAUGCUAAAUGAAAAUGGUCAAAGGAAUAUCAAACUUACCAAAUCAGUGGCAUCCGGAAACAAGUGUAAAACUUGCGAGUAGUAAUCCUGAUCGAUUAGAUUGUUACGUCUCAUGUUCAAGAGUCUUUCUCCAAGACGUACUUUCGUUAUACGAGGAAUGUCAUCCUCUACAAACGGUGUAUAAACACAAAUAAAACAUUAGAAAUAAAAUUCAAACCUGUCAUCUAGGUGCACGAUGUUAGAGGAGCCCGUCUUGAAAGGUAAUAUAUGAAGCAACUUUCGAUGUAAAGUGAAUCGAGCCAGGGUGCUGCAUCAUAUACAUCACUCACGAAAUCCGUGUAGAUUUGCGCUGAAAAGAACGAGUAAUCCAGAUUCAAGCAGUACUCGCCAUCGUGAGAUAGUGUUCGGAAGAAGAACUUCGUGAAAUCGUAGAAAUUGACGUGAGCGUCAGUGGGAAGAGUGAUACCGAGGCUGAAGAGUCCUGUACUAUGCCGGAAUAUCACAGUGAAGAAAAUAGCCACCUGAAAGUCCACAGGUAAGAAGCCAUGCAUGACCUUUCCGAAAUAUCCACCUCACAGUCUACAGGUAAGAAGCCAUUUCGCAUUUCUCUAAAAAAACGUUUAAAAGAUGCCGUUAAAGCCUGCAACAUAGAGAAUUAUUUUAGUUCACGUAGAGAACCAAUUUUGAUAAAGACUUACUUCUCUCCAUCCUCGAUCAUCAGCAGCAAGCACAAUGAAAAGGGGGGCAUAAUCCCAUGCCGGAUCUGGAGCAGCAUUUAGUAAUACGAUCCAGAUGACUUCCAGCUAAGAACAUUUACAAAUGUUUGAUAAGUAAAAAUGAUUGAGCUCAUAUCUUCACAGCCAUUGAGAGACUGAGGCCUAGAACUCGUCCACUGGCAGCGAGAGUCUCAGCACCUACAUCGGUGUGUGCUGCUAUGAAGAAAUCAUUGAUCCUCCUCUGCCUCCUUUCGGUUGCCUCGUCCUGCCUCUGGCGCACGCGUUGGAAGAAAAGCGUGGCCACGACUGCCAAAAUGGAGACAGCAAUAAACAACACCAUCGCUAUACUGAGGGAGUUUGUCUCCAGUGUAUGCCCUCCAUGGCCAGAUGGUGGCUUUUGAGCCAGAGAAGGGCUGAAGAGAGGUCCCAAGAGUGCAAGAGUAGCAAUAGACCCAAAGAUCUCCUGAAUAUUCCAGAGAACUUGUCAUUAUUACUUAAAAAGGGUUGAUUACUUUAGUUUGAGUUGAAGGAGGCGUUGCAACUCGUGGCUGGUAAAACAAAAUUGAAUCCAAGAAAGGUCUGAAGAGUGCAGGAAUGGCAGCUGAGCUGAAGAGCUCCUGAAAAUUCACCAAGAACCGGGUCUGAGCCUCGAUUAACCAGUCCGAGCCUGUUAACUUGCCUUGAGCUAGAUCGUGGCGUGUCGACGGCGGCAAUGCGCCAGGAUUCAUCUGGAAUAGGCACGAAAUAUGUCACUGACGAUGAAUCAUGGCCUGGAAAACCUUGGAUCGAUGCAUUGGCGCUGUCGCUGCCGAUUGGAGCUACACUUGGUGUCGUCCUCUGAAAUUUGCCCCGAAAUAUCAUCCAGCGAUUGAUCAAAGCUGCGAUUUACAGGUCGAUCGCGGCGCGUCGAUGAAAGCCAGGAGCUUCCAAGGUAGAACCCUAAAGCUAUAAGGAACCCCGAAGUUUAAAAUCUUUGGGCGGGCAAGUGAUGAGCUGGGCAGACACGUAAGCAAAACGAGGCUGUCGCCGUGGAUUAUAUUAUCAAAGCUCUGCGAGUUAGGGUUUGCGGUGUGAGGUAAAGGAAAUAGAAAUGUCUGCCUCGGCUGUUUCUAGGGCUGUCUUGUGGACGACGCGAUCCAGCAGCAGCAUACUGGCGAAGGCGAUCCUCGCUAUCUUCAUCACCUCCAGCAGGCCAAGAGCGUCUUUGAUCGAAUGCCCAAGUGGAACACUAUCUCUUGGAACUCAAUGCUGGCGGGGCUGGGAUCCAACGGGGAGGUCGCAGGACGUUUGAACUGCGAGCCGGAGGAGAGCUCCGAGAUGAUCGCGGCCUACGCUCGCCACGGGAGCUUCUCUCGAGCUCUGAGCCUGAUCAAGCGGAUGGACUUGGAAGGCUAGCCUCCAAACCGAGUUACGUGGAUCACCAUCCUCGACUGGUGAUCCCCGCCAUGGAAGGCUGCUUCACGAAGAACUGGAGCUCUCGCUUGAUCUCUGCUCGGACGCAGACUUGAGCCAUCAACAUGUAUGGGAAAUGCCACAGCUUGGAAGACGCUUGCGAGUCCUUCGAGAAGAGCACUGGUGGUCGGCAUAGCUGGACAAUCGACGUCCACGACACGAGGCUCUUCUCCGGCAAGGCAUCGAAGACGAGCUUCGACCUUCUAGAACCAUCUUGUGGAAGCUCUCAAUCGGUCUCCGGAUUUUUUGAGCCCCGGCCAGUGUGUCGAGCGCGGCGGAGAUCUUCUCGCAGUACCGAGCCUGGGAGCGGAGUUUGGUGCUCUGCACGACCAUGGUGGCGGGCUUUGCUCGAAACGGACAUGGCCGACGAGCUCACGAGCUGUUUGAGUUGACUGAGAGUCAAGGACUAGAACUGGACGUUGUCAGCUUCACCACCAUUCUUGCUGCGUGUAGCGCUGCCGGGCUGCUCCACGAUGGUCACGGGUACUUUGUUUCCAUGAGAGGGGACUAUGCUCUCGCUGCCACCAUGGAUCACUACGUUUGCGUGAUCGAUCUGCUGGCAAGGGGCCUAGCUUUGCUGACAACCAUUCCUUUUGAGCCUGAUGGAGUCUCGUGGGUGACUGUGUUGAGCAGCUGCAAAACUCAUGGCGAUUUUGAUGUAGCUGCUGGAGCUGGAUUGGAAUCAUAAAAGGCCCAGAGUGAAAUCACGACAGAAAAGAAACAGAGUGUAAAACGCACCUAGCAAGUCGUCGUCCUGGUCCUGGAAACCACAGUGGUGGAGAGGACCGUGUUGGAUUGACGCUUUCCUUUUGUACAGUCAAAGGCGUGAAAUAGUGCUCUGAGGUCGUGUUACUGGUGCUGGUGUUCUCAGCCACGGCCUCAACAGGCUUUGAGAGUGCGGCUUCGUGAACUGCUUGCCACAAUUCUUUGAAAUCAUCUGGAAUAUAAAAGCCAGCGUAGUCGAUAUAUAAGACAUUACAUCUUAGAAUACCUUCGUAGUCCUUGUGGUCAGAGAAAGCCAGUGAAGACGGGCGGAGGUCCAAAUCAUCGUCGUCACCACCUUUGUGCAAAAGAGAAAACGGCGAAAACAGUGUUGGCAGCUGAGGAAGCUUUAGUGUCGGGCUUGGAGGUGCCAGUUCUAGAGGUCCAGGAGUGCCUCUAUCAUCAGCAACACAGUCCGAAGUCACGUCCUGCUAAAGCUAGUCAGAACAUGGCUCAAACAAGGUGGUCACGUACUUGAGAGGAAAGUGCAGAGUCAGAAUACACGCUAUACCCAGCGAAAACAGCUUGAGAGGCAGAAGAAACCGCAGGGUGAUUGACAUGUUGACGGACUUUGUUAAUGUUUGCUUCCAUUCCUGGAGUGGUUUCCUUUAGCUGCGAAAUGAGCACCUGAAGAACAAGUCCUUUUUAAACAAACAAAUAACCGCAAGAGAAGAAUCUAAUACCUGCAUAUUUGAGAUGUGUUGUUUUUGCUCCGCUAACGUUGCCCGUAAUGCUUGUGUGUCCCUCACAAGCAUCCACCGCAUUUAUAAGAUUAGGAAGUGCCUUCGUGACUGUACGAUAAUUCCAGUCAUGUAAGCAAGUUAGACACAGCUAAAGUUUUUACCAGCUUUUGAGCUUGUUUGUGUAUGCGUUGCAAAGCAUGGGUCCACCGUCUAAUAACUUCAGCAACAUCAAGCGGGCUCGACCCUUUAACUGCCCUGUCUGUUCUGGCUUCGUCGCCACUCUCCUGCUUUUCUAGUUGCCGAUUGCAGUCCUCGUCAUUGGAGCUCACGAACUUGGUAUGACAUUCAUCCCUCGGUCGAUGGCCACACGCAAAGCCGAUCCAUCUAUAAGCACAGCGUCAAACAAAAUCCAGGAACCAAAAGAUUAAACACCUGUGGUCACGAUGAGCAAUCAAGUCUUCUAUAGGGCCGCUUGCUAGUUUGUCGUGCCUCUCUACAAUCAACACAAAAUCAGACAAAAAUAAGAACAUAAAAAAAUCCAAGAAUUACGAACUGACCAGUAUGUUUUAGAAGAGACUCCCAAUGCGUUGUAGCUCGAGAGGCUGACAGUAAUUUUUGAUUUGCAAAUGCUCUAGAACUUUAAAGCUCCUGCAUUUUCUCCAGCUCUUGAUGUAAAUAAGCCUCCGUUCAGUGUAAUCGACAAGUUAGUCGAAUUCAAAGCAGGCAGAAAAAGAAGUCAGAUACCUCGCCUACGCUCUAGAGCAAUACGUGCCUGCCAAAACACUUAAGUUCCAACAAUCAACAAAUCAACCAAAUCUACCAAUCAGCACUCCACCUUGUCACGGCAAGGAGUGCUGAUGCAUGUGAAUUUUGCGUGAUGACUUCCGUGAGCGACGCUGGCAAGGGGUUCUCGGCAACAUCCGCUGGGAAGUUCCGUCGAUGAACUUCUCGCAGAGCGUGGGCCGAGAGCUGCCAUAAUAGCUCCACAAAUCUAGAGAAGGAAAAAACGAAAAAAAUUCAAUCAUAGAAACCACGGAGGCAAAACGAGACCCACCUCUGACCAGCAUGUAGCUAGCGAGCUACUCCGAGGUAAAGCCCCUUGAGCCUCUAGCUCGUUGAUAAGACCCUGGACAAUCUGCAAAGAAAGGAAUUUCCAUCCCUUUGAGGACUCUAACACGAACCGGAAACACAGCGAAAGCAUGCGUAUUACUGUACUUUCCGGAAGUCGCAAGAGUGUGCCGCGUCGAAAAUCGGCCAGACACCGGCGAAAUCCUGCGAGAUCGAGCGUGAGCGCCUCAACUCAACCUACAUUCUCGCUGGCCGCCAAGGUGAGGAAGAAGGCGACGGUCCCGAGGAGAAAAUGUAGCAGGGCUUGGAAUGCCGGAAGAGGCCAGCUCGCGAUCCAGCGCCUUGCCCUAGAAUGCUGGCAUUCCGUAGAGCGCCGCUUCCAUCUCUCCUUCUUGGAGAGAGGACCGCCAUUCUCCAUCACCGCUCAAAUCAAAGCGUCCCUAGCAAAGACUCAGUGCAAAGCCAAAGAGUCCCUGGAUGAUGUGGCCAUUUUUAACGGGAGGAAUGGUUGUUUAAUUGGAUCGUUUGAUCUAUAUGUGGUCCGACGGCUGUGAGGAGAGGCAGCAAAACAUCGUCCUGGUGCACUGCGAGAGGGGGGGAUGGCUGCUGCUGGCGUUCAUUCUCGCCAGCUUUCUCAUCUACAGGAAGAUGUACACGGGCGAAUUCAAGACGCUCGAUAUGCUCCACCGGGAGGCUCCAAAGGGAUUGAUGCAGCUGCUCACUCCUCCCAAUCCGAUGGCAGCUGAGAUAUCUCCAGUACAUUGCUAGAAGGAACAACACUCGCUCAGCCUCGACUGCCUCAUCCUCAAAGUGGUGCCAGCUUCCGAUCCGGACGAGGGGCCGCAUUUAUGGAAGAGAUCCCCGAUCGAAAGCGUUGAACAGGACGAUGAGGAUGCUCUUUGCCUUGGGAAAGAAGAGCAAGUCUGUGGCAUUAUCGACCGGUAAGGUGGUGAGCUUGUUUUCUUUUGCUUUGGUCAGUAAUGCUCUUGUGUGUUCCAGCUUCCAGACAGAUUGUGAUGUGAUGAAGAUCGAUGUACAGUGUGCCGUGCAAGGGGGUGUGGUUCUCGAGUGCAUCCACUUGGACUUGGAGUCAGACCGGGAGGAGAUGAUGUUCUGGGUCAUGUUUAACACCGCGUUCAUCCGCUCCAACAUCCUGAUGCUCAACCGGGACGACAUUGACAUACUCUGGAACGGGAAGGAGUGCUUCUCCAAGGACUCCCGACCAGAGGUAAGCAAGCAAAGCUGAACCAAUUUUGGCAAAAUCAAUCUUUUCUUUUCGCGAGACGGAUGGAUUUUCGUCCCCUGUGGCGCCUGUGCGCUGAUGGAAGAGAAAGGUGGCUUGCCGAUGGAAGCUUUUGCCAAGGUCCAGGAGCUCUUCAGUUGCGGGGACUGGUUAGACGGUGGCAGAGACAGCAGCUGACCACGGUUGGCAAUGGGUUUGAGGACAGGAGACUUCCAAUGGAUAGAGCAGCACUAGCGGCAGCGGACGACGAGUGGACACUUAUUUCCAGUACCACCACCUCCUCCAUCAUCGCCCGUUUUGAUUAUCAGUUAGGGGUGUCACGGUGGACAAGUCCAACGUUAUCGUUUAACCCUAGCUUCGCACCAGGUACUCCUUCACCACUCCACCACCUCGGAGGUUGGCUAUUUUGCAGUCUCCACCUCCUGCUCCACCACCACCACCACCACCACCAGUAGUUUCUGUUGCUGGUCAUCCCCCUCCUCCGCCUCCUCCACCACUUCUGUUCGAGCUUCCGAGUUUUACUGCAAAGCUGCCACCGCCACCACCACCUCUGCCUCCUCCACCACUGCCUCAAGGGAAUUCAACUGCCCCACUGCCGCUUCCUUUGCCACCAUUGCCUCGAGGGAAUUCAGCUGCCACAGGAUUAUUCUAAGAAUAUUCUAUGGCCUGUGGGAUUUAAAGCUAUAAUGAGGGUUCACUCUUAUUUGUUUCAUCAGUAUUGGAGCAGCACGUUCUUUUAAGGAUGGCAAGUGAGCAAGAUAUUGAUCCUGAUGAGGAGUAUGGUGUUAGUGAUGAUAGUGAUGAUGGCUAUAUGAUGAUGAAGAAGAGACUUUUGAUGAUGUUGUUGUGCGGCAAGGACAUUAGAUUUUUGAGGUUCAAAGCAACAUAAAAGAGGUUAAGGAUUCUAUCAAUCUUAUUAAAAAUUUCUUGCUUCACAUGGACCCUUAAGGAUUAACUCAAUCUCAUAUCUAUGAUUACUAUUGGUAUAUCAAGCAUAUGGUAUCAUGGAAUGAAAGUCAUUAUUGAAUGUUUAUGAUAGUCAAAAAGUUUGGAAUUAUGGGAAAGUUGUUAGUCUCACAAUCUUUAUAAAGAAAAAGUGAAAAUUGAUUUUUUUGUAACGAAGCUUACGGGCCAUGCUUUUUCGUGAUGAAAGAGUUACAUCAAAGCUAAUCCGAAGCCAACUUCUUAAACUGAUUUGAUGAAAGUUUUCCACACUUCAGUUGUCAAGAAGCUUGAAGAGGUUAUUUUGUGAACCAGCUGUUAAAGAUUUAGCAAGGGACUUUGUUUUUAGAUAUGUAUGUGAUCUUUGCCUUAGUUUCAUGGGCACUUAUAAUGAGCUGCUAAAGGUGCAAUGUUUCAUCAAAGGAUUGAGCUCAUUAAAUGUGCAACAGAAAGUCAAGAAGGAUUUUCUAGCAACAUUAACUAAUGCUAUCACUAAAGCCCAAAUCUUUUCACCCAAACUGUCAAUUUGGUCAACUCUGGUUAAUGUAAUGACUAACCUACCAAUACUUCAUCUUUGGGGAAGAAAUAACUAUUGUUCCAUUGUGGCUCAAAGAAUGGAGAUAGUAAUGUGGCCAAAAGAUAUUAUUUGGACCAGCGAGAGAAAGAUAAUGUGGAGGGCAAUUGUUUUCAUUGUCAGAAGGCUAAAUAUUAUGGCAAGGAUUGUCCUCUUGUAAAGGGAUCAAAGAAUAUUAAGAUGAAUAUGGUGGAAUCCAUCAUGGAUUUAGCUUAGGCAUCUACUAUGGUGGCUCUUCCAUGCCCUGUGGCACAAGUUCAAGAAUCUCAAUCUCAAGUUUGUAUCAACUCUAUAGACAUUAAUGGUUCUAUGCGCAAUUAACUUAUGAGCCAAAGGGGACAUUCAGGGUAGUGUUAUUAGUAUUCUUUUCGAUCCAAGUGCUACUCACAACUUUUUAAGCUCCAAGGUGGUGUAGAAACUUGGUUUACCUGUGGAAAAGAGCUCAAUAAUUUAUAUGGUGGUUAUGGCAAAUGGAUGUAGCACUCGUGUUUAUGGAGGUCGGUAUUGCUGAACCCGUUAUCAGUUCCCACUUGAGCUAGUUGAGAAACUAGUCAAUGAACAUGCACUUAGAUUGAAUAAACAUAAGGUAGGAACCCUAUGUGUUUCUUGCUAAGCAUACUCGGCCUGAUUUGAGAAACUUGUGUCAUUGGCUUGCAUUUAGUAGUAUCAAGAACCCCCGCGAUAUUGAGAUUAGUCCCUUAAUAUUGCUAAAUGAUAGCUUACCGUGUCUGCCAAACACCCUCGCUAUCAUGCCCUUUGUGUUGGUCUCAUUUUAGUCCCAAAUGCUAUUUAUAGAAAGUGUCCAGAUUUGCUCAUUUGGCAUAUCUACAGAAUGUAGAGAUCAUCCUGAACACAAUAGUGUUCGUCCCGUGUCCACAUUCGCAAUCUAGGGACAUUUCAUAUUUAGUAAGUUUCGAACUUGUCCCAGAGAUUAACUCCUAAUACUAAGGGAGGCUUGGGGUGAAAGCCCAAAGCGUGUGUUCCUCAAGGGGGGCUGUGGGGGGUUCCAAAUAUAUAGUAGGGAUAGUGGGUAGGUCAGGUAUGGCCGACCAACUUGAGGCAUAGUCUAGCUCCCACUUGCGUGCCUUUCCUUGUUCUGCAUCCGGCUUGGGUCUAAACCCAAGUUCCAUUCCAUGCUGGCAGGUGGAGUACCCAUAUCCUCGCGUUAGGCCACCGGUAUGCUGAAAUAGCGCUAAACUCUGUUUGGCUUCGUUUUGCAUGUUGGUCCUAGCAUUGGGAUGCUGGUUGCUCCAGGACUGUUCCAAGUCGCUCCGGGCUCCUGCCCCUUCGCUCCUUGGGCUUUAUACUUGGGAGUUGCUCCGUGGUUCGGUUCUGUCACUCCUUGGCUCCAUGCUUGGGAGUUUGGCACCGUUCCUUCGUUCAAUGGCCCAAGGCCUUGAACCUCGGGUUUCUAUGGACACGUGGCAUGGACACGUGGUGGCAUAUGACACAUGCCACAUAGAGGGUUUAGGUUCCGCUUCGUGGUGUUAUCCUAUGGUAAAUUACCAUAGGAUAAAGGGUCAAAACCACGUGCGCUACAUUUGGUAUCAAAGAAUGAGUCUCAACGAGUACUAUUCAAUGAGAUUGGGCAACUAAUCUCGUUGCAUACGCAGAGAUGAAAACGAUGAUCUGAGUGGGUACACGUUUAGUUGCAAAAGACUUCGCAAUCAUUCCUUGGGUAUGGGUUUGGUUACCUUGUUGUACCAUAUUCUGUGAGCUUGAGCUUGGGCUCACAAGAAGGAUUGAGUUGUUCCAUUUACACGAGUUUGUACUUGAGCUCGUGAGUGAGACACAUUAGCAACUCGAGAUUACACUUUGAGUUGGCGGGAUUAAUGUUAGCAUAUCGGUGGUUCCAUGAGUUGUUUCAUAUAUCGUGGGUGAAAGCAAACUUUCCCUAAGUUUGCUAUGAGUGGCAAAUAGGCUGGUCCGUAGCUAUUUAGCACGGCACUAAUGGAUCUUUCUUAGGCAUGGUUACAAGUGGAUCAAUCAAGACUAUGGGGAUAAGUCUAUUGAUUCAAGUAAUUGUUGCCAUACUCUCUCAUAAACUUUUCUUGGAUUGGACUAAAGGCAAUGCGAAUGCAAGUUUGAGGUUUAGUCAAAGUUGAGAAUGAAAAGAGAGUCAUCGGGGACGAAGGAUCAAACACGUAAGUCAUCUUUUCUUCUUGGAGAGAUGAUUUGCAACGAAGUGUGACUUAUUGCUCAUGGUCACAUUAUACAAUCAAGGGUCCCUAGAUGCAUGUUGGAGAUGAUAGUUUUACAAAUGGUGAGUUGUGGGAUGGAUAGUGGUGAAGCGCUAUACUAUUUUGUCUAGACUUGCUAUUGGAAGAUUUGAGUUACAAUGCUCAAUUCUUUUCCCGGGAACCUUGCUAUUGCUUCUUGAGUAGCUUGGUGUUGGAUUAGUUUUGAGUUUGGUCGGAAAAAGAGUGGCAUGUGUUUAUCCAUGUUAUGAGCAAAAGUUAGUGGUGUUGGGUGUUGUAAAUCUCUAUUGGUGGAGUGUGGCAUUUAUGUUGCAUUUUGUCGAAUCGAGUUGACACUUGUUAGUCACAUAAACCUUUGAAGUAAUGACGUGGGUGUUGCUCAUGGUGUUGCUCAAUUGAUGAUCAAGUCAUUGUGAUUUUAUAUCAUAUCCAUGUGAUAAUGAGUAAUGUGUUUACGAAGUUGCUUGAUUAAACGAUGAUUAACCCCAAAGUGAUUGAUGGUGAAACUAGUCUACUUGCAUGAAGUAGCAUUGUAGUAGCUUUGACUGGAUUCUCGAUGGUGGUCCAUUAUGCUAAGCUUAAGUUGGUUCCUUGUUUCCUUGAGGGUUUGCCCAUAAAGUGUUGGAAAGGGUUGUAGCAUUCAUUUGCUAUAGCUCAUUAGUUGAUCCGUUAACACUUGGAGUAAAUUGUUAAAUAGAGAAGGUGUGAGGUAGAGGCAUUGACAUUACUAACAUUUGUGUUAGUGGAAGUGGCAUUGUUAUUUUAAGUAAUAAGGAAUUUUCCUUAGAGCUUGAUUUUCCAUGUCAUUUUUCUUGUUAGUGUUUUAGCUUUACAUUGGAUUUUGAAGGUGGUUGAAGAAAAGUGUUAAGUGCAAUAUGGAUAUCCAAAGAUGUGGUCUUCGUGAUCAAACCUUGGAUGUUCACUUUGCAUUUUGCAGAUGUCGGAGUUGGAUAUCGGAAGUAUGGGCAAAAAGAUGUUCGAGGCUUAAGCAUACUAUGGGUUAUGAAAAUUUGUGUUAAGGUGAACCUUUGUGAAGUUGUUAGUAAGAGGAAGUUGGUUGAGUCUUAAAAGUUUGUAUUCUUGGACUGAGAGUCAUUCUUUCUCUGGGAUGGAAAGAUUUUCCACAAAUUUUCUUAGACUUUUCCAAUGGCUGAUCUGUUAUCACUUUGCUUGAAAACCAUUUCGUUUUCGAAAGCUAAUACAAACUAGUGAAGGAGUUGGAGUUGACUUUGGUUAAUUUAGACCGUAAUAUGUAGUUUGUAUGAUGCAGCCCAAAAGGGAUGCUAACUUUUGGAGCUAAGGUAAUUGAGUUGAAUAGAGUCUGGAGUUAGUGUAGAAAAGUGGCCGUUGCACUUUUCGAGAAAGGUGACCCUUGUGCCUUUCUUCUGUAGCGUUAUGUUUGGUGGCAAGUUGCACUUUGCAUUUCGUUAGACUCUAUGAGAGUAGUGAACUCUCACUAAUCUUGACUUGGUCUUGGUGGCCCUGCACCUUGGCUAAGGAUGGUGAUGUUCAACUUAGUUGUUUGAGUUUGAGAUGUUGGUACCCGUACUAUAGCUUUGUCUAUAAGGAGGUUGUGUAUCGAUAUGAGUUCAUCUCAUGGUCUUCACUUUAGUUUCGGCUAAGUGUUGAUUAUGCAUAGCUAGCCUCUUCAAGGCAUGCUCAGAGCUAGUGGCUAAAUGCAUUGGUGAGCUUAUCACGGUUGAGUUGGAUUUGAGUGGUCAUUUAGUUCGUGUUUGUCCAUGAACCUUUAUCUCAUACCUGGGGUAUUACAUUCAUGUUGGACAAGUGUGUAACUCAAUAGCAUGAGUUAGUGUUUGGGUUUUGUGAAAGGCAAGACAAGUGAUUGUUAGUUGCUUUGCAACUAGUGAUUGCUUAUAAACUUUGUCAAGGGCUUUUGACACUUGCUUCACUCGAUGAUGGUUUAGCAGUGAUGGGCUUGCUUUAUCGGAUGGGGUUGCGGAGGAUUGUGUCGUUAGACUUACAUGGGUGUUCCAUUUGGCAUGUCGACUCUACCUCUGUUGAUAUCAUUUAGUUACAUUUAGUUCAUAGUGUUGGAUUUUAUUGAAUCUUGGACGUGGUGAAUCACUUCUUGAUGAUGUGUUAUCUGUAACUGAGUAUUGUUGAAGAAUUUGUCUCGGAUACUGGGUAAAGUAUCUUUGACUUUGGUUAGCUUGGUUGCAAGAGAGUUUUGAGUGGUGAUUCACUUGUGCUUUCUUUUAGCUUUGUUCUAGUGUUGAUGGCAUUAAAGUGAUGCCUUGUCAUUGAUAUUAUUGAUGUUGAGAUUCAAGUGAAAUGAAAUGUCCUUUCAAAAGAUUGAUGUCAAGUUUCAUUAGUCUCGAUGAAGAUAGUGUUGAUGAUUUGGCUAUAGCUUUGUGUUAUUAGCAUUCGUGCAUUUGAUAGUUAGCAACUAUGUUGACGUUCAAAUGAACUGAGUGGCAAAUUUGAGUUAGUUGUGUUCUAGACAAGAUUAUUUAGUAGGGGUUAAGUUUUGGCUUUUCCUUGAAAAGUGAUUCAGUCGUGGACUAUGCUAACUCUACAAGCAGAAAAGUUAGUGAUUGAUAUUAGAAUGUUUGAAUCCUUAUUAGAUUUGAGUUGAAAUAUAUCGAUCAUUGAUGAUUCUUCUUGUGCUUGUUAUGAAGUGAGUUACGUCUUGCUAUAGAUGGAUUCAUGGAGUAUCGUUUGGUGAUCACUUGUUGAGCAUAGCUUCGUUAUGCUUACCUUUUGGAUUGAUGUAGAUAUGCUCUUCAUUAGCUUUGGCAUUAUGAAGUUUAGCUUAUGGAUGUGUUGAAGAAGAUAUUGUGGGUUGCACCAUAAUUUCUUCUUUAGCAUUGAAGUUAGUUCAUGUGAGACUUGUGAUCAUUGUUAGAAAAGACUUGGCUAUAGACUUCUUCAAACUUUUGGUUCUUUGAGUUUUAUGCUCGUUGUUCCAUUUGUUAGAAGUUGUUGGGGAAAGGCAUUUUGGCUCAUUAGUUUUAAUGUUGAAGUUGGUUUUUGCAUCUAGCAAUCAUUAGUGGUGUUUGACUAUCAUCUAGGGUAGUUGAUUAUCUUUGUCAAAGGUUUUACUUGAUUAUUGUUGGUAUAGAAUGAUUUGCCGUUCUUUGGGAUGGUGGAUUCCUUCUUUGACAAUGAUUAUGCAUCUCUUUAUUGAUGGGAUGAUUGAUGAUCUUUCAUGAUAAUCAGUUAUCUCUUUGAUGGCUUUUGGCUUUUCGCAAUACCACAUGUUCCUUAUGGUUUGCCUUGGAUUGGUCUCUUGGGUUUGAAACAUCAAAAGGAUGUUGCUAACACUUGCUUAAGCAACUUGAGUUCCGUGGUAUUAUUGACCGGAAUCUAUUCAGAUUGAUUAGUGCAAUAGUUAGCAUUAACGAGUGUUUGUUGGCUAUGCAACAUUCAUUCUAUUCUGUUGAUUAUUGCUUGAGUUUGUUCUAAUAGAUUGGAAUGUUAUUUCCUCCGGGUGAUACAUUCGCGAGCAUUUUGCUUGUUUGUCGAUGAUACUUGGUGUUCUUUGAGUUCCCUUUUGUAAGUUGUUUGGCAUUCUAUCUGCAAUAUUUGAUAGUUAAGUUUAGACAUUGAGUUUUCUUGAUGAUACAUUUACUAUUGCAUUUUAUUGGAUAGUGAAUCCUGUAUUUACCAAUUUUGAUGAUCUUGGUGGUUCCUAUCUACUAUAAUACUGGUUUAUCGGAUGAUAACUUCAUUGGAAUACUUUUGUGUUCUAAUAUAAGAUUUAAUCACUGAUAAUUAAGUCUCUAACAUAUCAUUGUCUCUAACUUUGAUAUUGUCCAUCUAUUCAUCUUUGAGUUUGGGCUAGUAUAGGCAGACUGGCUUCGGCACUUCGUGUGCAUGUUGAAAUCUCUAGUCAUGGGGUAGCUACUGUCAACUGGUCACAUAACCUGCCUCUCUGUCGAUGUUCCUUAUUCCGUUAAAAGGGCGUGACCAUGUAAACAACUCUAACUGCUUGUUUACAGUAGUAUAUCUAAACCUUACCGACGGGUUUGGUUUCUUUGUUUAGGAGGGUUGGGGCCUUUGGCUUCUCUCUCUAUGUCCUUGCAGGUGUAAGCCACAAAUUUUUCCUUUCCAAUUUGCCAGCUUACCUCGUCUAUCCGUCUGACACUGCCUUGGCUUUUGCUAAGUUCCCUCGCCAAGGUUCUCACCUAUGGUACCAACUCCUACUUGGUCCUACUUAGUUUCAGCUACUCACUGCACGAGCAACAGAGCGUUAGCCAUCCAUCCACGGAUUCCCAAUCUCUCCUAAUCCCCCUCCCCGGUUUAGACUGGACUUAAGGUUCGGCUACACUCCCCACAAGCACAAGCAGCUAAGCACACCAAGCUUCCAGGUUCCUAACAUCCCUUGGUACCACAAGACUUGAUCAUGGGACCCUCUAAAUCCCAAGUCUUGAGUGCAACACUUACUUCGGGAUGCCGGGGCGAAACACCGUGGCCUAGCGGCUUGGUAUGGGUACCUCUACCCCCCCACUUCCAUCCUGAAGGAAGGCCCAAGCCCCUAGGAAGGGCGAGGACCAAUGAGCCGCAUGGUACUCAAGUGGGGCACCACUCCACAUGAGCCGGGAGCACCGCAAUCGGUUUCCCUUUCGGGAGUGGGAGUUGCUCUUGAGCAGUUCCUUGGAUGGCCCCUCCGGCACCACCCAAGUCCAUACUCACUCCCACCCAAGGCCCCUCGGUCUUAGUCUCAACCUCAAGUCGGUUUGAAAGCCCCACUGGAGAGUCCCUUCAAAACUAGUUCCUGGACCUCACUAUCCCUACUAUACUUUUGGAACCCCCUGCAGCCCCCCCCCCCGGGAGACGCACGCUUUGGGCUUUCACCCCUUGACCCAUAUUAGUAUUUGGACUUAGUCUCUGGCUCGAUCUCGGACUCGAUUUCGGAUCCGACUUCGGAUUCGGUCUCGGACUCGAUCUCGGACCCGAUCUCGGACCCAACCUCGGACUCGACCUCGGACUCGGUCUCGGACCCGAUUUCGGAUCUCAGACUCCGUCUCGAACUCCGUUUCGAACUCGGUCUCGAACUCGGUCCCCGAGUCAGCCUUGGACUCAAUUUCGGACUCUAUCUCGAACUUGGUCUCCGAGUCGGUCUUGGACUCGAUCUUCGACUUGGUCCAAUUCGACGAACUCUUUGUCAUUUUGGUCAUGCUUUCGGGGUUUCUUUAGCCUACGACACCUCGGCGAGUUGGUUCCUUAUAGCAGGCAGGGGCGUAUCACACUUUUGUAAGCUGGGUGACUCUUAGAGCAGCAAGGGUGGCUACCUCUGUUAACCAUUUCCUUGUCGACGACGGCUGGAAAGUGUCUGAGCUGGUAGCGCAUCCAUGUUAGACAAAGAGGUUGCCUCCUAACUCAUUAAGUUGGUGCAUUUCUCACAUAGUGUAAAUACCGCAAACUUUUUCUGGAGUUGUUUCCUUGGCGGUAUUCUAGACUCGAGUGUGCAUCAACAAGGACGUCGAUCUUCCCUAGGGGGUGAGAGUGUCGCAAAUGUGACUUCGGGUAUCAAAAGUUACCUGUCGGCUAGUCCUUUCGGAUAUUCUUUCUUUACUGCCACGAUGGCAGGAGGUCGGUAUUGCUGGACCCGUUAUCAGUUCCCACUUGAGCUAGUUGAGAAACUGGUCAAUGAACAUGCACUUAAAUUGGAUAAACAUAAGGUAGGAACCCUAUGUGUUUCUUGCUGAGCAUACUCUGCCUGGUUUGAGAAACUUGUGUCAUUGGCUUGCACUUAGUAGUAUCAAGAACCCCCGCGAUAUUGAGAUUAGUCCCUCAAUAUUGCUAAAUGAUAGCUUACCGUGUCUGCCAAACACCCUCGCUAUCAUGCCCUUUGUGUUGGUCUCAUUUCGGUCCCAAAUGUUAUUUAUAGAAAGUGUCCAGAUUUGCUCAUUUGGCAUAUCUACAGAAUGUAGAGAUCAUCCUGAACACAAUAGUGUUCGUCCCGUGUCCACAUUCGCAAUCUAGGGACAUUUCAUAUUUAGUAAGUUUCGAGCUUGUCCCAAAGAUUAACUCCUAAUACUAAGGGAGGCUUGGGGUGAAAGCCCAAAGCGUGUGUUCCUCAAGGGGGGCUGUGGGGGGUUCCAAAUGUAUAGUAGGGAUAGUGGGUAGGUCAGGUAUGGCCGACCAACUUGAGGCAUAGUCUAGCUCCCACUUGCGUGCCUUUCCUUGUUCUGCGUCCGGCUUGGGUCUAAACCCAAGUUCCAUUCCAUGCUGGCAGGUGGAGUACCCAUAUCCUCGCGUUAGGCCACCGGUAUGCUGAAAUAGCGCUAAACUCUGUUUGGCUUCGUUUUGCAUGUUGGUCCUAGCAUUGGGAUGCUGGUUGCUCCAGGACUGUUCCAAGUCGCUCCGGGCUCCUGCCCCUUCGCUCCUUGGGCUUUAUGCUUGGGAGUUGCUCCGUGGUUCAAUUCCGUCACUCCUUGGCUCCAUGCUUGGGAGUUUGGCACCGUUCCUUCGUUUAGUGGCCCAAGGUCCUGAACCUCGGGUUCCUAUGGACAUGUGGCAUGUGACACGUGGCAUAUGACACAUGCCACAUAGAGGGUUUAGGUUCCACUUCGUGGUGUUAUCCUAUGGUAAAUCAACAUAGGAUAAAGGGUCAAAACCACAUGCGCUACAAUAGUGAAUUGGCUUUGAGUGUUCCUUUGACAGUUCAAGGGAUUCUCAACCAUCCUUCGUUCUAGGUUAUGGAUCUUGGUUGCACAGACGUUAUUCUUGGGGAGGAAUGAUUUUAUGAUAGGAAGCUAGGGAUUGAUUGGGAGCGUAAUGUUUUGCAUAUCAAAGUUGGUAGCACUGUGAAAGAGAUUGUUGGGAUAGACAAUAAUGAUACUCCAUUGAUUAACGCUUUGGAGUUAGUGACAUGCACACAUGAGAUAGCUGAUUCUGUGGUGUACCUGUUUCUUUCUAAUAUAAUCAUAUCCGAUUUGGAGUACAUUUGUGGGCAUAGGGCUUGGAUGGAUUCCAUUCAGGAGGAGUUCCAUAACGUAUUUCUAGAUGAGUUGCCUAAUGGUUUACCUCUCGACUGUGGAAUUCAGCAUGAAAUUGACUUGGUACCUAAAGCUACUCCUUAUCCACGACAACCGACUCAUACUAGUCCUGCUGAAGAUGAGGAGAUUAAUAGGUAACUUGUUGAAUACCUGUGGAAAGGGUGGUUAUAGAUCAGCAAAUCUCCUUGGGAUGCUCCAGUGGUAAUGGUAAAAAAAAAAGAUGGUACAUGGUGUCUCUACAUGAAUGACAAGGAAUUGAAUGAUAGGACGGUAAAGAAUAUGUUCCCAAUCCCUCGUAUCGAUGAUUCACUCGAUCAUCUUUGUGGUGCUCGAUAUUUUUUGAAAAUUGAUUUGAGGUAAAGGUAUCAUCAGAUUUGUGUCAAGCCAGGGGAUAUUCCGAAAACUACAUUUCGGACAAAGACAACACUACAAGUUUUUGGUGAUGUUGUUUGGUUUGACAAAUGCUUUUGCAAUUUUUCAGAGAUUGAUGAAUCGAGUUUUACAGCCUUAUUUGGGAAAGUUUGCAAUUGAUUAUUUUGAUGAUAUCUUAAUAUUCAGCUUUUCAAUGGAGGAACAUGAGAUGCAUGUGUGAAGUGUUUUACAACUUUUGAAGGACAAUAAGCUCUACUUGAAGUUAUCAAAAUGCAAGUUUGUUUUAGAGAUUGGAUAUCUCGAGCAUUUGAUUUUAGUAUAUGGAAUGAGACUUGAUCCCGCAAAGAUUCAGGUCAUGGUUGAUUGGCCUAUAUCUUUGAUAGUGCAUGAUUUCUAUAGUUUCCUUGGUGUGGCUGGAGUUUUUCAACGAUUUAUAAAGGACUUUUCAAAGAUAGCAGCCCCUUUGACUAAUCUUCUCUAGAACAUGUCAAAACAUGUUACUAUUCAUGGUUAAGAUGAGAAUUGUGAAGUGGUAUUUCAAUGUUUGAAGAUUUUUGAUCCUGAAAAGCCUCUUGUGAUCAAGACAAAUGCAAGUGACAUUGUUAUUAGAGCCAUAUUGCUUCAAGUUGGGCAUCAUCUUGUGUAUAUAAGCCAUAAGUUUGAUGCCACACAAUGGAAUUAGCCUACUUAAGAUAAAGAGUUAUAUGUUGUGAUUGCUACUAUGAAGGAAUGGCGACAUUAUCUAUAUAGAUCAGACUUCUAUAUAGAUUCAGACCAUUAGUGUCUCCAAUAUUUCAAUCAAUAAAAGGAUCUUUGAGGCCACCUUGCUCGUUGGCAAGAGUUCCUGUAGGAAAUGUCUGUUAAGAUCAGAUACAAGCAUGAAGGUGAUAAUAAAGUGGCUAAUGCAUUAUCUAGGAUAGUAAAUUCUGUUUCACUCAUAAAGCUAUCUAGCAAUUUCUUGGAUGAGCUUAAAGAGUUUGUGGACUUCGACUCCUUUAUCAGUGAUAUUCGUGCAAAGGUUUUGUUAAGGGACUUCUCUACAGAUUUAAAGGGUGACAAGUUUGCAUCAUUCGAGAUACAAGAUGAAAUCCUAGUGAAGAAGGGACAUGUAGUGAUUCCUUGUGUUGACAAACUCAUCAAAUGGAUUUUAGUUGAGUGUCAUGAUAUGCCAAAUGUUGGGUAUCCAAGGGUAUUAAGAACAUAUAUGUUAGUGAAGAGGCAUUUCUUUUGGCUUGGGAUGAAGUCAAAUGUUGAAGAAUCAGCUAUUAGAAGAUUUGCUAAGGUCUUUUGUGGGAAACUUGACUCAACAGAUAGUAUGGGAGAAGUACUUACCUUUGCUUCAAUUUGCUCAUAAUAGCGCUCAUCAAUUAACUAUUGACAUAUCUCCCUUUAUGGUGAUAUAUGGCUAUGAGCCGAGGUCUCGUAUGAGUUUGAAUUUAGCUUUGAUUCAGGUACCUCAUACUUGUGAUUUCCCAGAGGAUAUGCAAAACAAGCUUGAGUUGACAAAGUUGAACAUGAGCCAAGCUUAAGAGUGAAACAAAAGAUUGGCUAAUGAACAUUGUCAUCAUCAAUAGUACAAAGUUGGUGACAAGAUUUUCCUUAAGCUGUCAGAUGCACAAUGGUCUCUAAAAGGAAGUGGCAAUGCUAAGUUGUCUCCACAAUAUUGUGGGCUUUGAACAAUUUUACAGCAUAUGGGGGAUCUUGCAUACACUUUGGACUUGCCAAUUAAUUUGAAGAUUCAUCCAAUGUUUCAUAUGAGCAAGCUUAAAGCAUGUUUGCACUCUAGUGAUGUCAUGGAUCAGUCCAUCAUCUAAGUUCCAAAGAUUGAUGCAGAGAAGUCUCAAAGAUUAAUGAAAACACGCUGGAAGACAACUAAAGAGUUGUUAGUUUAAUAGAAUGAUUAUUCCAUGGAUGAAGUUAUAUAGGAAAUUGAGGAUGACAUGAAGAGAGUGUUUUUGAAUUUUGGUUAUGACUUGGAUGACAUUCAUGAGAAAGGGGAUAAUUGAGUUCUAUAUCUGUAUUACUAUAUAAUUUGAGCCAUUUGUUCUAUUCUCAUUCUCUGGUUUCCAUAACCACAUUGUCAUGUGAAAAAGUUAUAUUGCUUUCUUUCUUUUGUGGCAUUUGUUGUGAUGUUAGUGUUGCCAUUUACACAUCUCUUCUCCAUGGCCAUAUUGCUUUAGACUCCCUACAUGUGAGGCUUGUUUAGCUUCUUGAGGCUGCUGUAUGUGGCUCAUGAAGGAGGGGAAAACCAUAAGAAUAUUCUAAGAAUAAUCUUGGGAUUUAAAGUUAAGGGUUGGGAGGUUGGUCUAGGGUUGGAAAGUUUCAUGUUACCUCAAGGAACUUUAGCUGCACCACCACCACUACCUCCUCCACCACCACAUGGCAAUACUGUUGUGCCACCUCCACCGCCACCACCUCCUCUUCCACAAGCUGCAAGGCCUCUAGCUCAUCACUGCUGCCGCUGCUGCCUCCACUGGGAAUGCAAGGCACUCCUCCGCCUCCACCUCCACCUUUGAAAGGACAGCCUCCACCUCUGCCACCUCCUCCCGGAUCAGCAGUAAGAUCUUCUCCACUGCCACUGCCGCCUCCUCUCAGUGUGAAGUCACCAUUGCCUGGUGUACCACCUCCUCCGCCACCUGCAUUGGGGAAAGGACGAGGUAGUAGUCCUUUGACACCUUCGCCUCCUGGUGGUCGAAGCCGAGGACAGGUUGCUGGUGCUUUGGGUCUGGCAUCUGCUACACCGAAGAAGACCUCUCUGAAGCCAUACCACUGGGUAAAGGUUACAUGGGCUAUGCAGGGCAGUCUAUGGGCGGACAGUCAGAAGCAGGAAGAGCAGUCAAGGUGUGUCUUGUGGUCUUUUUCUUUUGUUACAUGUGCUCACAAUUUUUUGAAUUUGACAUGAAUGAGCUAGGGAGCCUCUUCUCGGCCGCUGUUCUGAAUGCUGCUGCGGGUGGUGACAGAGCAGGUGGUUGUCGUGCAUCUCUAGUUCCCAAGCAGGAAAAAGUGCUCCUGGUGAGCUGCCUUUUGUAAUAGAAGCCGAGGCCUCACUUUUGUUUUAUUCAGAUUGAACAUAGACGAGCGUACAAUUGUGAGAUAAUGCUGACAAAAGUGAAGAUGCCACUGCCAGAAGUUGUUGUAAGUGGCUAUCUACAUUAUGCAAUGUGGUUUUUACUUGAGCACUCAGAAAGCAAUACUAUGGGACAGUACUGGAUGUAGAUCAGGUUGAUAAUCUGAUCAAGUUUUGUCCAACAAAGGAGGAGAUGGAAACGCUCAAGGUUUUAUUUCCAGAUAUGAUCUUGCCAUCUAACUUACGCUGGUGGUUUUGCAGAACUACACAGGCGAUAAAGAAUGCCUGGGCAAAUGUGAGCAGGUUUGUCCCACUUUGUCUGAAACAGUAUCAUUUACUAGACAAUAUGUUUGUUUUUGCAGUGUUUCCUGGAGAUGAUGAAAGUUCCUAAGGUAGAGUCCAAAUUUCUUUUAAACUUCAGUUCACGUCGCAGGUUUGGUCAAAAUUAUUUUGUCUACCCUUUCAAACGUUGGUAUCAGGUGUCAGAUUUACGAGAAAAUCUGGUAGUAGUCAAUGAAGCUUCAACAGAGGUAAUUUCGACUCUUCUUGUAAGUUGCAGAGUCUCCUAAGCUUGAAAGAGUGAUGCAAACGGUUCUGUCCCUGGGAAAUGUGUUAAACCAAGGAACUGCUAGAGGUAAGAAGAGUGCCAGGGAGCUUGAGCUAAGUAGCAAGUGUGGCUGUUGUUCCAGGGGUGGCGAUUGGAUUCAGACUCGAUAGUCUACUUAAGCUGAAAGAAACUCGAGCUCAUAAUUCUAGAACUACGUUAUUACAUUAUGUGUAAAGUAAGGUGCAACUGUUUUGGCUCGUGACACUAGUGGCAGAUUGCAUCCGAGAAAGUGCCCGAAAUACUUGAUUUCGACAAGGAAUUGCUUCACCUUAAGGCAGCCACCAAGGUUCUUAUAUUUCGUACUCUAGUAUUUGUGUCUUGGUUUUCUGAUCUGUGUUACAGAUUCAAUUGAAGGCUCUUGCAGAAGAAAUGCAAGUCGUAAGCAAAGGCCUGGAAAAGGUUGAGCAGGAAUUGACAGCAUCUGAAAACGAUGGAGCCAUCUCUGAUGGGUUUCGAAAGGUGAUGUUUGCCUGCUUUGCGUGCAUUUUCCUAAUGUUUUCUAUGCACGCACAGAGCUUGAAGAGUUUCCUUGAUAUGGCGGAGGCGGAGGUGAGAACACUGGUGUCUUUGUACUCUGAAGUGGUGAGAGAUGUUAAGUUUCUAUGUAUGGCUUGUUGAAAGCAUUGUCACUUUGCAGGGCUGCAAUGCCGAUUCCUUGGCGCACUACUUCAAUGAGGAUCCCACUCGCUGUCCAUUUCAGCAAGGUACUUAACCAUUUGGUCUGUAUGCACUUGAUUUUACAAUGCUCGACAUCUCUUGGUUUUGGUGCGCAGUGGUGUCGAUCAUUUUUAAUUUCAUCAUGAUGUUCAAGCGUGCAUUGGAAGAGAACAGCAAGCUAGUGGAGAUGGAAAGGAAGAAAGCCAAGGAGGCCGACAAAGACAAGGUUCUCCCACAGAGAAGAGAGCUGGAUGGGCUACUGGCACCCCAGUGAAGCAGGAUAGCAUGACCAUUUAAGUCGGAGAUUUUGAAAGGGGGUCUUUGUUUGUACAUUCUUCUAGAUAGAUUAUUGACAGAAAGAAGAUUUUUGAAGAUAAGAAAGUGAAUGACAUUGUCCAUUCUUCUAUAUAUGAAGUACAAAUGUAUAGUUAUAAUGCCAUAUACUAAUAUUAGUGUAGUGGGAUUUUAGUAACUGUUGGAUUGGUUUUAAUUCGGACCAUUCGUUUUUAUAUAUUGGGUUAAUUGAUAUGCACAUUUUGUGUAUUCCCUUUUUAUAUUCCAUGCGCUCACAUUAGUGGAGAUGAGGAGCACCUUUGAUUGUCCUUAAAGAAUGCUUAGAUUUAGGAUUUUGGUUUAAAUAUAACUUUCAUAUCGUCUAGAUCUAGUUCUUUCCAUUGAUUUAGAUCUAACUUUUGCAUUGUCUAGAUCUCCCUUUCAUUCUAGCUUUUUUUCAUUUCUCUUCUUUUGCUCUUUCCUUUCUAUUCAUCUUCAUGGCAAAGUAAUAGUCUUCUCGUCCUUUGACUCUAGAGCAGUAGUUAGUGCAAUUGCUUGAUGCUAUGUAAUUGCAAUUGAACAACUAAACUCAGUUGAUGGCAGCAUUCACGGCACGUGGUAUAGCUCCUCGUGCUCUUGGUUCCAAUUCUUGCGUUUAACUAGAAUUCUUUCGUGGGAAUCCUAGGGAUGAUGUGUACCAUUGGUUUGAUUACUUUACAGUGAUUGCCACAUAUCAUUCUUAGGAUGAUGCUCAACAUUUGCAUGAGUUUUCAACGUGUCUCCAAGGGUGUGGCUAACACUUCAUUAAGAUCUUAUUAGACUUAUGCAUACACUUGCUUCAGCCACCUUUGAUGAUAUUCUUUGCUUGGCACAACAUUAUGAGACAUUGCUUCUUCCACUUUUCAUUAUACGUCCUUCAGCUCCACUUCUUGUGGGCGAUGGUUUUGUUCCAAUGGAGGUUGAUGUUGUUGCUACUCGAGUCCAAGGACAAGGGCAAGGAUGUGGUCAUGGCCGUGAUGUUUGUUGUUGAGCGUGUGAUGAAAUUGAUCACACUUAUUAGCAUUGUCGGUGUUUUCUAGAUUGGUAGCCUCCAUUUCCUAGAUGGAGACCUUGGCAUCAACAAUGUCUUAUUGGUGUUGCUAUAGUGCAAGGUCUGGACACUGAAAUACAUCUAAGAAACGAGGAGUCACGUGAGUAAUGGAGGGACCUUGUGUGAAUAAGUCAGUGACCCUUCCAUCUUUCUUUCGGGAGUUAAGGGGUUUAUUUGGCACUAGUUCAUUAAAUGUUUACUUUCCAAGCUUGUUUUUAUAACAAGAGGUCUUCUAUUAUUCUCUCCAUGUUGGUUGAUACAGGUUCAAGUUUACCUUCUAUUGCUUGACCUAUUGCCACACAAUGCCAUCUACACUUGCAUCGUGCGGUGGAGCCAAUUUUCAUUCUUUAUGGCAACAGUCAUAUAUAUAUGAGGCGGACCUAGUUGUGCGUGUGGGCGAUCUCAAGCUUGGGUUGCAAUCGCCAAGUCAAGCUUUUGACCUCAUCUUUGGUAUAGAUUGGUUGCAACGCAAUCAUGCCAAGUAUGACUUUGAGGCUUCUCCCUCUUGUAUCAUACUUCUUUAUAUUUCAUCCGUUCCUCUCACUUUCGUACUUUUUCAUCCCUCUACUUCUCACUCUAUUUCUAUUACUUUUGUUUCCCCACUACUUCCUUCUAUGUUUUCGUCUUAUUCCACUCUUCCCUUUUUUAAUGCAUCCAAUAGUCUUCGUGUUGCAGUGGUGGACCAGCUCAUGAAGGAGUAUGCUGAUCUCUUUGAAUUUGACCUAUCACUAGGACCAAGAUUGCCACACGUUAUUUGAUUCCAACUGAGGAUGCUUAUCUAAUCAAGGUUUCUAUUCAUUGUCGAUCACAUAAAGAGAUCAAAAUUUUACGUAUAAACGUCAAAGAGAUGUUGGAAAAUGGUGUUAUUCGAAAGUCGUAGAGUCCUUGGGCAUGUGAAUCUCAUCUUGUGACAAAACCUGAUGGGAGUGAUUGUUUUUGUAUCGACUAUUGUCCGUUAAACAAAGUGAUAAUCCCGGAUGUGUACCUUCUUCCUCACACUGCUAAUCUCUUGAAUCAUCUAGGAAGAAGUCAUUGGUUCACCAAGCUAGAUCUUGCUUCUAGGUACUGGCAAGUACUGAUGGCCAAAUUAGAUAUUUUUAAAACUGUUUUUUGUAUACUGUUUGGUUGUAUGAGUUCUUGGUAAUGCCAUUUGGUUUGAACAAUGCUUUAGCAACUUUCCAGCGAAUGAUGGACAAAGUUUUUUGCGAUAUGCUGGAGGCGACUACUAACUUUAUUGAUGAUAUCUUGAUCCACUCAAAAGGGCCGUGGGAGGAACAUAUCCAUAAUGUUUAUAAAGUGUUAGAUUGACUAAGGAACGUUAGUUUAUAACUGAAGUGGUCGAAGUGUGUGUUUGGGUCCAAGGACACAAUUUUUCUUGGGUAUUAUAUUUCUCAUAAGGGUUUGCAAGUUGAUUAACAAACUUAUAGCUAUUAUAAAGUGAAGUGUGUGAAUAAUGUGCAAUACUUCUUGGGCAAGGAGUAAUAUCUCAGUCGUUUUGUGGAUCAUCUUUCUAAUCACACUACAUCAUUGUGAACAUUGCUGAAGUUAUCAACGUCAUUUUUCAUUUGGUCUCUGAAUUGUGAGUUCAUAGAUCUCAAAGAGCUAAUGACAACUCCUCCAAUUUUGGCAUAUCCUAACUACACUCUACUUUUCAUUUUAUGCAUGGAUUCUUGAUUAGUUUUAAAGGAGUGUUGAUGCAAGAGAGCCCAAGUGUGCCUUGUCAAUGCUAUCCCAUUGUGUAUAUAAAUUGCACAUUACAACUAGUGAAGGUGAACUACUCCACGAUAGAGAAAAAGUGUUUAGCAGCAAUUUGGGGUUUUGAAAAACUUCAUGCAUAUUUACAUAAUUCUCAGAUGUUACUAAAAGGUGAUCAUGCUGCUGUUAUUUCAUUAUUGAAGCGGAAGAACCUAGUUGGUCAUACUACUCGGUGGGAUUUGAAGCUUCAGAUAUAUAAUUUUGAUGUUGUUCAUCACCCAAGGAGUUCUAUAGCUAAUGCUAAUGCAUUUUCUUGAACUCCUCUUCCUUCUUCAAUCUCUUCUCAUGUUUUUAACAAAUUUGUUGUUCCAGCAUUUAUGGAUUUUUUAGACGAGGAUUUUGUGCCAUCGGUAGUUGUUAUACUUGACGUUCAGUAUCCACAAAAGCAAAAUCUACCUUCUCUUGAUGAAGUUCGCGAUGCUCAAAAGAUUGAGCCAUGGAUUCGAAGAUUUUGAGAUGGGUUUAAGAAUUUUGCAUCAUUUGCUGAUGACUUGCUAUUCCGGCAUUUACAUUCUUAAUAUCACCUUGAAGACAACCUUCUUUAUUUUGUAGGGACAGAUCCUAAUAAUCAUUUACAGCUAGUGGUGUCUUCCGUCUUUAUUCCAUGGUUUCUCCAUGCAUACCAUGAUUCUCCUCCAUUGACCAGAGUUUCCCCGGGAUGUAAUCUCUCAUGUUGAAAACCCUAGCCAGCCUCAAAAUGUCCACUAUCGCUUGCACAAACUUGUCGACAUCAGCCAGCAUGUAAGUUAUCAUAGUCAUGUUCAUGCGAGUAGAAUAGACUCCCACAUUCGUCAAAGAGGGAUCGAGCAAGACGGUGUUGCUCCUCUCGUCUCUGGAAAUUACUUUAGAGACCACUACAGUGGUAUAGCUUUCAGCCAUUACACUCCAGAAGUGAAAUUCUACAGGAAACUUAUCAACAAAUUCGCUGGCUGGACAUCCAAGGUUUGGAGAAGCAAUAAGAUCAUGGACAGGGUAAACAGGCACCUCUUUUCAAUCUUGCAAGAUCGGCAUGAGAACCUCCGGUUUUCACCAGCGAGGAGCCCAUGGCAUUCAUAGACUUGCUCAUUUCCAGAGAAAAUCUCUGAGACAUCAUCAUAGUCUCUUGCUCGUUAAGUUUUAGCUCAACAUGGAAAAAUGGAAUCUCACAGGAUCUGUUGCUGGGAGCUCUAGCUACCUCGGCUCUCUCGCUGGAAUGGGCUAUGGCUGAUCUUCUCAGGAAUCGCUGAGUUCUCGGCUCAGAGCCAAAUCGAUGCAAAGAAAAGCUUGUGGACGAGUCGGACAUUGCAAAGCUUCCAUUCAUCGAGGCCAUAGCCAAGGAAACACUGAGACUCCUGGCUCAGCUAGCUCUUCCCAAUAUCGUCCAUGGAGGCCCGAUUAAACUCAGGGGCUAUACCAUCCCAGACGGGGAUGGUCCAAAGUUGAGUUGAGCUCAUGAGUUGAGCUCAAUUCAACACAAGUUAACUCAAGUCAACAUAGUCAAUAAGAAAUAUUACAAAGGAGAUCUAAAUUGAAUAAAUGAAGGUUCUAGCAAACUUUAAAAUAUUAAAAUACGUAAAUAUCUAAGUUAAAAGUUUCUAUAAGAUUGAAUUGUUUAAAAAAGACAAAGUCCUAUCUUUUAUAAAACUAUAUUAUUUUAUUAUGACAACUGUUACAGCUGUCAUAUUUGAUUUGACUACUUAAUAUUUUGAAUUCUUUUACAGCUGUAGAUACUAUUCCUUCAUUCAAAAGAUUUUUUAGGGUUCUUGAGAAGAUGGGAAGCAAGGAAAAUACAAGAUCUGUGAGUAAGAGUUGUAGUGCAAAAGAAUGUGAGAAUGUUAAUUUUGUUUCACUACCACAAUCUCCAUAUUACACUCCCGGUCCUUAUUACCCAUCUGGGAAUGUGGAGACCAUUAUCACGAUUGAUAAAAAUGCUCCUGUUACUUCUGAAACAACAGUCCAGAGCAAGAGAAAUGAAGAAAUGAACAGCACGGCGGAAAACACCAAAAAAUCUACUCUAAAAAACUUUCCAUGACAUUUGUAAUUUACAUAUUAAUUCAUAUUAAAAACUCUAUUGCUUGCCUAUAUCGCAAUCCUCUCAUAUGAUAAGACCAAGGUAUAUUUUGCAGUGAAUCCUCAUUAAAAGUUUUUGGGAAUUGUUUGUAAAUAAUGAUAAAAGAAAUCAAAAUCUUUCGAAAGACUCAAAAGUAAUAUCACAUCAAAAAAUCAACUUUAUCUACAUUUCCAAGACUAAAAGGUAAUCUCACAUGAGAGAAUGGUAGCGUGCCAACGUGCUCUACCACUAUAAUGUGGUUUAUAUUUCCUUGCAAUUUAUUUCCCUAGACAUUUGGCAUGUGUAGAAAAGAAUAUAUGUGUAGCAAAGUAGGAUUCAUCAUAAUGAUAGAGCAUGUGUAUACAUGAUAAUCUAAAAUUUUAGAAGCUCUUAUGUUUACAAGAAAGCUAUGAUUAUGAAGCCCCAUUUCCAAGACUGACAUUUAAAGAAUCUGAGUAUUGUCAGUGUCAUAAUAAAUAAACCUCAUUCCCAAGAAUCUGAGUAUUGUCAGUGUCAUAAUAAAUAAACCUCAUUCCCAAGACUAAAACUUAGUAUAUAAACUAUCUAGAAAAGUUAUAGUCAUUGUAGGUUUUUUGUUCUCCUUGAGCUCCUUAGAAGUUUAUAUUGAAAUGGCUCAAAGGAGACCCAUUGCUAAUCGUAUUUGGCCCCCCAGCAUUUCAUAUCAAUCUCCACCUCCAUCCCCAAGUUCUACCAACAUUCCACCUUCACCUCCACAUAACAAUCCUUUUUCUGCUAAGGGCUCUAAUGAAGCUAAAUUAGAGCUCCCUAUAUGUGAAAUUCCGGAUCUUGCUACUAGAGAGGGAUUGCCUUUAGCGCUUCAAGAGCAAUGCCACAUGUUUUUGCAAGAUCUUGCUCCUGACAUGGCAAGACUACUUGAAAGCACAGAAUGUUAUUACAUUCGGUGUCCAAUAUGCUACUUUUUCUUGGACAAGACAAAUGGCUCUAUGGGUUUACAAACUUUUCUUGAGCACUGUAAGAAUUGCUCAACAGCAUGUUUGGAAAAUGUGCACGUGUGGAUGUACAAUAGAUUCAAGAAUGAAUUACAGACACAUACCCACUAUCGCUUCAUGGUGAGGAACAACAUCCCCUUGGGAAACACUGCAUUGGCUAGUGCAAAAUAUGGGGUUUUUAGGCCACCCUAUAGUGGAAUGUAAGAUCUAGAAUUACUUUACUAUACUAUAGUAUUGUCACUAUUAAAAGAAAAAAUAUAAUAAAAUGAUAUUAGUUGUAGGUAACAUACCUUGUUCUAGAAGGUGCUAUCAUAUCACAUACAAUUGUUUACAAAAUGUUGAAGGAGGAGAUGGCAACACACAAAUGCUACAAAGUGAUGGUGACAGUUGAGAAUGAUAAUCUAUAAUUAUGGUAUCUGACACUGACACUGACAUCUGACAAUUUUACUGACAUCUGACACU